CUAGUCAUGAGGCCACGAUCGAGAAGCUAGUCUCAGCAAGUUGUUAUCUAUUUAUCUUUGUGCCUGUAAUGUGAUCUAGCUGCGGUUGUAGUUCUGAGUUGCUGGGUUUACUGGCUUUGCUCCAUUGAUCUCAUCGUUAUGUAAUGACUAAAAUAUGAGGACUAUGUAUGUAUCCAAAAGAAGGCUGAUCAUAUAUGUAUAAUAAGAAGAGUACUGGCUUUGUGGUUUAUGUAUAAUCCGCUUGUGUAAAACUUCUUCUUUUAUCCGUCUAAAUGUGAUGUAUAAUCAGAAAAUAUGGCCAGUUUGUCAUCUUGACCAACCUGAACUUACAAACUAAUUAAUUAAGUCAAUCUCCCCAAUUUCAUCAAUCUUCAUUAGGAUUUCAUCACUAGCUCAUUCCUUCACAGAUAAUUAACCAUUUGCUCGAUUGCUCUUAACAAACUGUAAUAGCCAAGAGGCAAACGCAUCCAUCUAAAUUCUAAAAAGUUAUUAACACAGGCUAGGGGUAAAUUAUCCUUUGUUCAGACCAAUCUCACAGUUGAAGCGAUGAAUUGGCUAAAACAAAAGCCUACGGGCAGAAAAACAAAGCAUCUCUAUUCGUACGGAAGAAUGACUUCCAUAUAUAGUAAGCCUUAUAGUUAUAACACCGUAAGUGUAUAAGAAUAGGAAUUCAUAAACGCAAUAAGAAGAAGACCGUGAAAGAGAUCGAAGAUUAAAGCAGGCCUUAAUGUCUUGUAUAUUCUGUACAAAAUUUCAACAGCCAGAUUUUCUCGAUGCAUUCGUCAGCUUCUGUUUGUAACCUUUCUUCUGUCAAAUCCUCCAUGGCUUUUCACGAGCAAUAAUUCUUGCAAGGUCCCAUUAACAAGCCUCACGUACGUUGUUCUUAUCUCCUUUUCCUUAGCUCACCAAGAAUUCAACUAUUACCAAGUGCAGCAACUAGUUUCUGUGAUCGAUCUACGGAAAGUUAAAGUUAUUGCUCAAAAGAGAAAGAGAAAACGGAAGUUAAAGUUCCAUGCUGCCCUAGUUCAAGUACGCACUCAGUUAUGAUCUUGUGGUUCUUACAAUGGAUGAAUGGAUGAAGCAUUACCACACAAAUACUCAGAAGAGAAAAACAAAACAACCACAGUGCACGAUUAACAUGCUAGCUAGCUUUCAUUGUGUGCAAAUAUCCUGAGCUACCAUUCCACCAAAACAAGCUAAAUAAGUUUAUCCUUGUAUGGAUAUUAUGUGAAUCGAAAUAAUUGUAUAUUUGAUUCUUAGAUAUUAUGUGGCACCUAUUACAACGAAGCAUGUGCCAUAUUCUGAAGAUAAUGUCGACACAUCUGAAUCAUCUAGAGCCCGUACCGACACCUUUCUCCUAUAAAAUCAACUCCUACUAGCUUAAACUCUUCAACAGUUCGCCACAUCAAGAACAACUUUCUUUUUGUUUAUACAAGCUAGUAGUCUCACCAAGAAUUCGAAGAUGCAUCACGGUGAUCAUCACGGCGGACCACCACACCACGGAGGAGGUCCGGGAGGAGGUCCGGGAGGUCCAGGAGGCGGCCCUCAACAUGGUCAUGGUCAUCAAGGAGCUCCGGGAGGAGGGCAUGGAGGACCAGGAGGAGGAGGGCAUGGAGGGCAAGGAGGAGGAGGACACGGAGGACCAGGAGGAGGAGGACAUGGAGGAGGAGGAGGAGGAGGACGAGGGGGGAGGAGGAGGACAUGGAGGAGGAGGAGGAGGAGGACGAGGGAGGAGGAGGAGGAGGACAUGGAGGAGGAGGAGGACGACGGAGGGCAUGGUGGUCACUGAUCAUGGCGCUAGACUACGUAUACUACUUGUGGUGUACUAGCUGGCUGAAUAAGUCUCUCUAUGUGACUUCUGUAGUAUUGUUUGUGUGUUAUCAUUUCCUAGUUGGGUCGAUCAGAUCCUAGAUAGUGAAGCUAGCUAGGGGAGUCGAUCUUGUGUUUGGAGUCUGUUAAUUAAUGUAUGUGUAUGGAUGUGUAAUAAAACCAUACUAGCUAUGUAUUUGAUUCGAGGCUUAACAUAUAUUGCAUGCAGCUAUAUAUAUAUAUAUAUAUAUAAUAUCCUUAGAUGACUAAGAACAUAAGAAACAGAGCAGUACUAUUGAUGAUUUACAAGAUUCAAUUUGUAUAAGUGAUCUUUGGCUUGUCCUAAUUAACCAUCAAGCAAAGCGCUAAGAACGAACAUAUUAUAUAUACUGCCAGAUGAUCAAGCAACUUUGCAGAGGGAUCAUGACGAAAUGUCCAUCUAGCAGCUUAAAUGCUUAAUUAGAACAAUUUUGCAAAACAAACACAAACUUGUAUAAUACGGUACCGAAAAUAUAAGUAUAACCGUUUGAAAUGUCAAGUUUAUCAAUCUUAUGAAAUCGAAGUAUCGUAAAUCGAUAAUGAUCUUCUUCAAAACUAGAACGAGAAUGUAACGUGUCUAUAUGACACUAUAAAUGUCUACGAAAUCAUGCGUUAAGAACAUAAUAUUAUAUUCCUUCGUUUUUUACUAAAGAAUAUCAUUACCGUUAAGCUUUAAUUGACAUACGUACGAUUGUACUUUGUAGUGAUACAUCUAAUUAUAUUGGUCGUGUGGUGCCCUUAGUAUAUUAAAAGGAAAAAACUAAAGAGACCAAAAGGCCCAAAGGAAACCACAGAAAUUGUCAUAAAGGUACAAGUGCAGCCCAACUUUCNNNNNNNNNNNNNNNNNNNNNNNNNNNNNNNNNNNNNNNNNNNNNNNNNNNNNNNNNNNNNNNNNNNNNNNNNNNNNNNNNNNNNNNNNNNNNNNNNNNNNNNNNNNNNNNNNNNNNNNNNNNNNNNNNNNNNNNNNNNNNNNNNNNNNNNNNNNNNNNNNNNNNGUCCUGAUCAUCACCUUCCUUGCCUAUGCUUCCUUCCACGCCUCCAGGAAGCCCCCCAGCAUCGUCAAGAGUGUUCUUGGCCCCAAACUCCUGUCCAAUUCGAGCUCUUUCGACACCGGUUGGGCUCCCUUUAAUGGCCCUGAUGGCACUCACAGGCUUGGAGAACUUGAUCUUGCAUUUCUAUCUGCAUAUUCUAUUGGAAUGUAUUUUGCAGGGCAUGUUGGUGAUAGGAUUGAUUUGAGGUUGUUUCUUGCUUAUGGGAUGUUAGGGAGUGGAGUUUUGACUUGUCUUUUCGGGUUAGGUUAUUGGUGCAAUGUGCAUAUGUUGUGGUACUUUGUGGGUGUGCAAGUUGUGUGUGGGUUGUUUCAGUCAAUAGGGUGGCCUUCUGUUGUGGCAGUUGUGGGGAAUUGGUUUAGGGUUUAGACAGCGGCCAUCACACGCCGGCCACGGUCACGCACCACCCCCAGGUCCGGGACACCACGAGCCUCCUCCGCCCCAUGGCCAUGCUCCUCCUCCGGGGCCUCAUGCACCUCCUUCGGGACCCCAUACACCUCCUCCGGAACCCCAUGCACCUCCUCCGGGACCCCAUGCACCUCCUCAUGAUCCACACAAGCCACAUGACCCGCACCACGGUCACCACCACCCAUGAACCGAACUAGUCAUGAGGGAUCACGAAGCUAGCUAGUCUCAGCAAGUUGUUAUCUAUUUCUGCCUGUAAUGUGAUCUAGCUGCGCUUGUAGUUCUGAGUUGCUGGGUUUACUGGCUUUGCUCCAUUGAUCUCAUCGUUAUGUAAUGACUAAAAUAUGAUGACUAUGUAUGUAUCCAAAAGAAGGCUGAUCAUAUAUGUAUAAUAAGAAGAGUACUGGCUUUCUGGUUUAUGUAUAAUCCGCUUGUGUAAAACUUCUUCUCUGUUAUCGGUCUAAAUGUGAUGUAUGAUCAGAAAAUAUGGUCAGUUUGUCCUCUUGACCAACCUUAACUUACAAACUAAUUAAGUCAAUCUCCCCAAUUUCAUCAAUCUUUAUUAGGAUUUCAUCACUCAUUCCUUCACAGAUAAUUAACCACACAUCCAAGCUGCAUUUGCUCGAUUGCUCUUAACAAACUGUAAUAAUUAACCAAGAGGCAAACGCAUCCAUCUAAAGUCUAAAAAUUAAGUUAUUAACACAAGGUUAAAUUAUCCAUUGUUCAGACCAAUCUCACAGUUAGAGCGAUGAAUUGGCUAAAACAAAAACCUACGGGAGAAAAAGAAAGCAUGUCUAUUCAUACGGAUGAAUGACUUCCAUAUAUAGUAAGCCUUAUAGUUAUAACACCGUAAGUGUAUAAGAAUAGGAAUUCAUAAACACAAUAAGAAGAAGAUCGUGAAAGAGAUCGAAGAUUAAAGCAGGCCUUACUGUCUUACAUAUUCUGUACAACAUUUCAACUGCUAGAUUUUCUCGAUGCAUUCGUUAGCUUCUGUUUGUAACCUUUCUUCUGUCAAAUCCUCCAUAUACGAACUCAUGGCUUUUCACGAGCAAUAAUUCUUAAAAGGUCCCAUUAACAAGCCUCAAGUACGUUGUUCUUAUCUCCUUUUCCUUAGCUCACCAAGAAUUCAACUAUUCCCAAGUGCAGCAACUAGUUUCUGUGAUCGAUCUACGCAAAGUUAAAGUUAUUGCUCAAAAGAGAAAGAGAAAACGGAAGUUAAAGUUCCAUGCUGCCCUAGUUCAAGUACGCACUCAGUUAUGACCUUGUGGUUCUUACAAUGGAUGAAGCAUUACCAAACAAAUACUCAGAAGAGAAAAACAAAACAACCACAGUGCACGAUUAACAUGCUAGCUAGCUUUCAUUGUGUGCAAAUAUCCUGAGCUACCAUUCCACCAAAACAAGCUAAAUAAGUUUAUCCUUGUAUGGAUAUUAUGUGAAUCGAAAUAAUUGUAUAUUUGAUUCUUAGAUAUUAAGUGGCACCUAUUACAACGAAGCAUGUGCCAUGCAUUCUGAAGAUCAUGUCGACACAUCUUAAUAAUCUGGAGCCCGUACCGACACCUUUCUCCUAUAAAAUCAACUCCUACUAGCUUAAACUCUUCAACAGCUCGCCACAUCAAGAACAACUUUCUUUUUGUUUAUACAAGCUAGUAGUCUCACCAAGAAUUCGAAGAUGCAGCACGGUGAUCACCAAGGAGGAGGUCCGGGAGGUCCGGGAGGUCCAGGAGGAGGUCCGGGAGGUCCAGGAGGCGGCCCUCAACAUGGUCAAGGUCAUCAAGGGGGUCCGGGAGGAGGGCAUGGAGGACCAGGAGGAGGAGGACAAGGGGACCAGGAGGAGGAGGACAAGGAGGACCAGGAGGUGGAGGACAAGGAGGACCAGGAGGAGGAGGACAAGGAGGACCAGGAGGAGGAGGAGGAGGAGGAGGAGGACAUGGUGGUCACUGAUCAUGGCUCUAGACUACGUAUACUACUUGUGGUGUACUAGCUAGCUGAAUAAAAGUCUCUAUGUGACUUCUGUGUUAUCGUUUAUGUGUUAUCAUUUCCUAGUUGGGUCGAUGAGAUCCUAGAUAGUGAAGCUAGCUAGGGGAGUCGAUCUUGUGUUUGGAGUCUGUUAAUGUAUGUGUAAUAAAACCAUACUAGUUAUGUAUUUGAUUCGUCUCUUAGGCUUAACAUUGCAUGCAGCUAUAAUAUUCUUAGAUGACUAAGAACAUAAGAAACAGAGCAGUACUGUUGGUGAUUUACAAGAUUCAAUUUGUAUAACUGAUCUUUGGCUGUCCUAAAUAACCAUCAAGCAGCAAAGCUAAGAACGAACAUAUUAUAUAAACUGCCAGAUGAUCAAGCAACUUUGCAGAGGGACUAUGACGAAACGUCUGAGAACCCAUCUAGCAGCUUAAUUAGAACAAUUUUGCAAAACAAACACAAACUCGUAUACGGUACCGAAAAUAUAAGUAUAACCGUUUGGAAUGUCAAGUUUAUCAAUAUUCUGAAACCAAAUAUCGUCAAUCAAUUAUGAUCUUCUUCAAAGCGAGUAUAUAUUUAGCGUAUCGAUAUAACACUGUAGAUGUCUACGAAAUCAUGCAUUAAGAACAUACCAUUAUAUUCCUUCACUUUUUACAAAAGAAUACCAUUACCGUUAAGCUUUAAUUGACAUACGAUUGUACUUUGUAGUGAUACAUCUAAUUAUAUUGGUCGUGUGGUGCCCUUAGUAUAUUAAAAGGAAAAAAAAAAUUAUUUGGACUCCGAUCAAUUUCCCCCUCUGAAGGCCGCCACAAUAAGCAGAACUAAAGAGACCAAAAGGCCCAAAGGAAACCACAGAAAUUGGCAUAAAGGUACAAGUGCAGCCCAACUUUCUUUCCCUCCAUUUUUGACCCAAAAACAAAAAAACAAAAGAAAACUACUUCCUCCAUUUGUCUUGAUAUAAUUAGGUAAUACAGGUUGCUUCACAGACAUCUCACCCUUCACCAGGAAGGCCCUCAUUUUCUUUUGAAUCUGGUGGCCUUCCUCUUCAUUUACAGAUCCAAAAACCCCCUUAUAUUCUUCUGUACAUAGAUAUUUCUCAAUCCCACAAAUCAAUCCCCAAAACCCUAAUCAAAGAUCCAUCCUUUCCUUCUCCUCUGCCUCAAUCAACAACUGGGUUCAUCAAUUCAGGUACAAAUUGAGUUCCUUUUUCUUCUUCACAGCAAAUGGNNNNNNNNNNNNNNNNNNNNNNNNNNNNNNNNNNNNNNNNNNNNNNNNNNNNNNNNNNNNNNNNNNNNNNNNNNNNNNNNNNNNNNNNNNNNNNNNNNNNNNNNNNNNNNNNNNNNNNNNNNNNNNNNNNNNNNNNNNNNNNNNNNNNNNNNNNNNNNNNNNNNNNNNNNNNNNNNNNNNNNNNNNNNNNNNNNNNNNNNNNNNNNNNNNNNNNNNNNNNNNNNNNNNNNNNNNNNNNNNNNNNNNNNNNNNNNNNNNNNNNNNNNNNNNNNNNNNNNNNNNNNNNNNNNNNNNNNNNNNNNNNNNNNNNNNNNNNNNNNNNNNNNNNNNNNNNNNNNNNNNNNNNNNNNNNNNNNNNNNNNNNNNNNNNNNNNNNNNNNNNNNNNNNNNNNNNNNNNNNNNNNNNNNNNNNNNNNNNNNNNNNNNNNNNNNNNNNNNNNNNNNNNNNNNNNNNNNNNNNNNNNNNNNNNNNNNNNNNNNNNNNNNNNNNNNNNNNNNNNNNNNNNNNNNNNNNNNNNNNNNNNGUCCUGAUCAUCACCUUCCUUGCCUAUGCUUCCUUCCACGCCUCCAGGAAGCCCCCCAGCAUCGUCAAGAGUGUUCUUGGCCCCAACUCCAGUCCAAUUCGAGCUCUUUCGACACCGGUUGGGCUCCCUUUAAUGGCCCUGAUGGCACUCACAGGCUUGGAGAACUUGAUCUUGCAUUUCUAUCUGCAUAUUCUAUUGGAAUGUAUUUUGCAGGGCAUGUUGGUGAUAGGAUUGAUUUGAGGUUGUUUCUUGCUUAUGGGAUGUUAGGGAGUGGAGUUUUGACAUGUCUUUUCGGGUUAGGUUAUUGGUGCAAUGUGCAUAUGUUGUGGUACUUUGUGGGUGUGCAAGUUGUGUGUGGGUUGUUUCAGUCAAUAGGGUGGCCUUGUGUUGUGGCAGUUGUGGGGAAUUGGUUUGGGAAGACGAAAAGGGGGUUGAUAAUGGGUGUGUGGAGUUCACAUACUUCGGUUGGGAACAUUGUGGGAUCGGUUAUUGCUUCCGGGGUUUUGGAAUACGGAUGGGGUUGGUCGUUUGUUGUGCCUGGAGUUUUGGUGAUAUUGGUGGGAGGUUUGGUGUUUUUGUUUCUUCCUGUGAGGCCGGAGGACUUGGGGUUUGAGGUGCCGGGGAAGGAGGAGGUUGAGAUGAAUCUGGAGGUUAAUGGGGUGGUGAAUGUGGAGAAGGUGGAAUCAGAAGAAGCUGGAUUACUUAGAGGGGAAAAUGUAGAUGCUGAUGUUGGUGCUGGGGCGGAAACUUUGACUGCGAUUGGGUUUUUGGAGGCGUGGAGGUUGCCGGGGGUUGCGCCAUUUGCGUUCUGCCUCUUCUUUUCGAAGCUGGUGUCUUACACUUUCCUGUACUGGUUGCCUUUCUACAUAAGGCACACAGGUAAUUCUUUGACUCUGAUGCUCUUGUAUGAUAAACUGAAUUAUUUUGGCAAUGUUUGUGCUUAGGAUCACAAGAAAGAUGCAUGUGCUGUAUGAAAUACCAAAUAGAAUUAAAGAAAUCAGUGUUCAUAACUAUAGAUUUCAAUUUACUUAUUGUAGUUUGGUGUUAUUAUGAACUCGUCAUAUUAAUCAUGACUUCUGUUUUACCUUGUAGCUGUUGCUGGGGUGCAUCUGUCACACAAAACUGCUGGAAACCUUUCUACAAUAUUCGAUAUUGGAGGAGUCCUUGGUGGAAUUCUAGCGGGAUUGAUAUCAGAUAUGCUUGAAGCUCGGGCUGUUACAUCAAUUGCAUUUUUGUUACUUUCAGUCCCAGCCCUUGUUCUCUACAGGGCAUAUGGAAGCUUAUCUAUGUUUGCCAACAUUGUUCUGAUGUUUAUUGCCGGAUUGCUGGUGAAUGGUCCAUAUGCGCUCAUCACAACAGCUGUUGCUGCUGAUCUCGGCACUCAGACCUUAAUCAGAGGCAAUUCUCGUGCCUUGGCUACUGUAACCGCAAUCAUAGAUGGUACGGGGUCUGUUGGAGCAGCUCUUGGUCCUCUUUUGGCAGGCUACAUUUCAACAAGGGGAUGGAACAGCGUUUUCUUGAUGCUAAUUGUUGCUAUAUUUUGUGCCACUUUGUUUUUGAUACGCAUUGCUAGAACUGAGAUUAAAGAGAAGUUGAGCGGGAAAAUAUGGUUUUGGUGUAGCAUAGACACACAAUGAUUGAGAAGUAAUAGACAGAAAUUCUUGUAAGAUUACGGUACAGCAUAGACACAAUGAUUGAGAAGUAAUAGACCGAAACUUUUUGUUUUAGUGUAUUCUUGAAGUCUGAGUAUCAGUUUGAUGACUCUUUGUGCACUUGUGAUAAAAUCGUUAAAGGAAGAAUAUAAAGGGUAAACAACCAAAAUGUUGGAAAGGAAAAGAAGAGUAUGUACAAAUUCAAAGCUAAAAGUACAGUUACAGAACAAUUUAUAAGCAACUGAGAACUGCCUUAACCUCUCAUAUGCAACGCAAUUCCUUACCUCAAAGUUUGAUCUCCAUUAUGUUCUAUUAGUGUACAGACUGUUAUCCCAAAACUUGGCAAUACGAAUGUCUUCUGCAUCCUUCUCAUCUUCUGUAGAAUCAACUGAAGCACUAGAUAUAGAGGAAGCAAGGCUGCAGUCCCUGGAUAUAUAUACAGAAGCCGAAGUUCUUAUUGAUCAAUUCUAAGUUUUAACCUUUGCCCAUCACCAGAAACAUCAACAAAUGGAGCACACUAGUUCAUCUAUUGAUCUAAGAAGAACUGAAGAUUUUGUAGUCCCUCAGCAGAAAUACUACGUCUGACUCUAGACCUUUCGACUACCACAUGUGGAGGUGGCUCCAAGUGGAAACUCACCAUAACAAGUGUCAAAUUGUCAGUUGCACCACGUUUUAUUGCCUCCUCUACUAUUUGCUUGCAACACAGCUUCACAUCAUUGUGCUCUUGGAGUUUCCUUCGAGCAAAGUCUACGGCAUUUUGGUUGGUGAAGACAUCCCAUAUUCCAUCACUACCAAUGAUUAAAAAUUCAUCAUCCUUGGUCAGUGUUGUCAAUUUAAGUUCUGGCUCAGCACUCAAGGGUCCUCCCCUUUCACCUUCAUCCUUCAAUCCUUCAAGAUGCCAAUCACCUAAUGCACGGGUAACCCCUAACUGACCAUUCAGAUAACCAUCAUCAACAUAUCCACCCAAAGACUCAAUCCUCAUCCUUUCUUUUGUGCAGCAGGGUCUAUGAUCUUUUGACAUUUCUAUAGCUGCUCCAUUUCGUGACAAUAUAGCCCUACAAUCUCCGGCAUUCGCCACAAGCAAAGACCUGUCCAACAAUAACGUUUUUUUUUUAUAAGGAACAACAAACAGAACAAAAGUCUGACGAAAACAAACUAAGCAGUAUCAAGAACUUAGACGUGAGAAGGGGCCAACAAAGAGUAGAUGUAAAUGAAGUAAUUCAAUUCCAAUGUAACACCCCAUGUUUGGGCCGGUUACUUCCUUUCCUAUACUUUAAGCACAAGCACCAAGACUAGCAGAUUUUUUCAAUAUAUUGCUUGUAAGACGACAUGAAGUAAAUGCAGCCUAUGAACACUGGAACAAAGAGUUUCUUACCUCCCAAAUAUCAUUGCAGUGAGUGCAGUUGUGCCAGAAGCAAGGGAAGACCGAACAGAGCAAGUUUUUGCAAAUGCAGCAUCUGUCUCAACAAAUGACCUUGUUAUUACCUUUUCAAGCUCUACCGGAAAGUCAGAAUCCUCAACAAUAACUCUUGGCAAGUUGUCACGAACAAAUUGCGCUGCAUCUUUUCCCCCAUGACCAUCAAAUACCUGUUUAAAUUGACAUCGCAUCAUUCAGACCAUGACUUAGAAUGGAAAGCAAAGAAGCAUUGCCAUACAGCGAAGUGUAGUAAACAGAAGAAGGUAAGUGAACUUACACCAUAGAAGGAGAUAGCUUCUUCGUCAUUGAGUACAUUAUAACCAAAUUUCUUAGCCAAGUCACCAAUGCAUAUAUGAGUAUCUUCCAUAUGGGAGCGAAAUCCAAUAUCAGACCACUCUCCUGACCGAAGGGCAGGGACAAAGUGUAACAUGUUCUGUUUUGGAUCUACAACUACUGAAUCCUCAGAUAUGCUUUCCAGCUGAAAGAUUAACAAAAUAACAAAACUUAGAUCAGAUAUAAGUCUCAAGAACAAUUAACUUACGGAACUCAAACUUCUCCCCAACUAAUAUCUAAACUUCUGCAGGACAAACCAACCAUAAAUAAACCUCGGAUUAAAGAACAAAAUUUAAAUAGCACCUAACCAUCAACCAAAUCAGGAUGUUCACAAAAGGGUGGAAAUGAAUUGCUAAAAACAAAGUCAUUAUAUAAAAAGAAAAAGAGUAUGAAACAUCAAUCAUUCUCUUUUUCCCUGUUCUGUAACUUCUUUCAGAUAAACUGAAAUCGAAGCACAAAGAAUAGAAACUGUCCCACACAAGAAUACGAACCUCAAAAUAUCAUAGUUUGAUCAUAAAUAAACACAUUUAUUUGGUAAAAGUUCACCUUCCAGAUUCCCAAUCAUUCACAGCAAGCCAAUUAAAUUGCAGCUUACUAAAAAGGAUUGGUCUUUAACAGUUUAACAUGUGAAAACAGUACAGCAUUAUUAAUCAAGCUGAAAACUUUCAUAUCUGAUACAGUAAAAACCAAUUACUAUAGUAAAGUGCAGAAUCAUGAGUAAUGUCAAUCAUGAACCAAAUAAGAGACCCAAAUCCCAGAGCUCAAUUUCAACCAAAUGGGUCCUAAAAAGUUCCAAACUUGACAACAACCCAACAAAGCUAAGCCAUCAAAGAACACAAAAUUGAUUGAAUUCUCACCUGAAACGAAUUCAACACGGUGCUCUGCUGAUCGGAGCUCAUCACCAUAGAUUCCUUGUUGUUGUUCUCCAUGUUUCCCAUUUCUGCAUCAUUCAAACACAUGCCUUAGUGCUUUGAGAUGAAAGAUUAUAAUGUCGGUGCUAUUUUCAGUGCUUGAAUUCUCAGCAAAGUUGUAGAGGGAAUCAAAUAGUAGAAACAGAGAGAACAGAGGAAAUAUAAACUUGUGGAGAGAAGAAGAUUCUGGGAAUAUGUGAGUGGGAAAUGGGGGCCUCUGUUUUAGACUAUUGACUAUUGAGUAUUUAUCAGAGAGAAAGAUGAAAGAAUGGAGAUUCCAGAUUUUUCUGUGAAAAUGUGGCUGAAAAUCAGUUUGUUGGGUUCUAUAAUAUUAUUAUUCUUGUAACCAAAAAUAAUAAUAAUAUUAUUAUUCUACUGAAAAAAGAAGAAGAAGUUUUUUGGUCUUGCUUCUUGCUUACAGAUGAGGUAAGCUAAAACUGGGACUGUAUUUUGUUGCCUAUUUCCUUGUCUCAAAAUUUAGAGGAGGUAAAGAUGCCAAGUUUUGGUGUUGAUUAAUAUCUAUAUUGUGUUUGACCAAGAUCACCAACUAACAUCUUCACCAAAAAGGGUUCCACUUUCUGAAAUGUCACAACCACUAAAACCAGGUUUAUUUAUCUUAGUGAUUAACUACCGAUAAUCAUAUCAGAGGAAUUAGGCCAUGUGUUGUUAGUGGUUACUGGGUAGGGUGUGUGAUAUUCUCAAAGAAAUGUAAUGGAAAAAGAUUAUGUUAUUAGCAUAACAAGGAUGUGGUUAGGAUAGUAUUCAAAGAUAUAUAUCACAUAUGCUUCAUUGUGGUUAGGAAUAUAAAUUUCAACCUAUGUAGCAUGAAAGAGAUCAAAUCCGAUAUAUUUCAAACACAAUUGAUGAACCUUUGUUUUAUUUAAUCAACAAUAAUUGCCCCCUAAAAAGUUUGAAAGUGAACGGAAAGGUAUGUUCAAUGUGAAAGUGAUCAUGCAAGACAAUGACCUUAGAUUUUUUUUUUUUUUCUUUUUCCCCUCCUUUAUUCUGCCUCAACUUUUUCACAAUAACAAAUCUCCAGAAAAUAUCUUCUCCUCUUAUAUGGAAACUCUGCUCCUUGUUCAUCAAGCACAGUGAUAAUUUGCUGUUCUGGGUCAUUUCAUUUACACCAUUGUUAUUGCCCUUUGCCCAUUUAAAAGGUUUUUCCACAAUAAUAUGAAGCACCACUAUUCUUUCCAGUAACUUCUAUAUUUACAGUUUUGGGUAAAAUUCUUUUGCAAAUGUGAACACAGUGAAGAAAUGGAAUAUAAUUUAGCUGUGAGUCUUUGCUGUCAUAUUCAGAAGUUUGAGCCUAGGAGACGUACUCUGUUAGUUUUCUGGGAAAACUUUAAUUGGUUAGUUGGUAAGUAUUGGUUGAAGGAGAAUCUUCAUCUUUCAGAUGACACAACACACAAGUGAGACUGAUACGUGGCCCAAUUGUUGUCACCCACAAAUUCACUUGUGGUUUCAAACAGAACAGUAACAUAUCAUGAAUUGAUAGUAUGCAAGUGCUUUUGUCAAUGAAUCGAAAUUUUAGAGCUACGUUGGCAACGAUCAGGUUGUUUGUAUGGAUCAAUCGCCUUGCUUGCACGUUUUACAUGGAUCUUCCCUUGUUUAAGCGGUAGGUGAUCAAUCACCAUUUUCUUGUUUGACGAUUUCAUAUAGAACUUCUGGCACCGCGAUUUGAUUAAUAAAUAUAGCUAUAGCUUAGAUUAUGCUCGAUAGCAUUACUCCAACUUACUGUUUUUCAACAAGUUUUAAACACUGGUUUUUAAGAAUCCAUCAUGUUAAGAGUUUUUGUUUUCUGUUUUCAUUACACCAAAAAAAAGAUUUGCCGGAAGAAUCAUGCAGGUUGGUCUGACUCAAAACAAGUUCCACUUCAUCACAAACGCGAUUGCCACAAAAGAAAAGUGGCAAGAACUACGGAAGAACUAAUACGAAUUAAGAUAAUAUGCGCAGUUUUGAUCCUGGACUGAAAACAACAUACCAAAGGAUCUCCAAAAUUCCAAAAUCUAAAUAAUAAUCAAAAGUUUUAACAACAGAAUGGGCAGCACCGUUAACCAUUAAUAGUCUUCUCAAAGUUCAUAAUCAGUUCACCCUAAACCAUCUACAAUAUCACCCUACCAUGAGAAUUAGACUUAACUUCCAGUGAAAGCCUUCUUUCCAAAAGCUGACGACGAUCCAGCGGGAAUCACCUUCAGCACAUUGAACCUCUUGGUCUUGGACAAUGGCCUAAACAUAGACAAACAAAUAAAAGAUGAGCAACGCACACAUAUUAGAACACUCCAUCAAGAGUAGUAGUGGCUUAGAAAUUUGACCUGCACUGCCCGAUGAUAACAUGGUCUCCUUCUUUCACACGGAAGCAUGGAGACACGUGUGCAGCAAUGUUCGAGUGCCUCUUCUCAUAUCUGAAGCAUGAUACGAAACAGAAUAUUUCAGUAUUACAUAAAAGAGCAUCCUUUUACUUUACCACAAUGAAAACAUAACUUGUAGAAAUCAAGAGAAAUGAACUCCAAUACCGUACCUUUGAUACUUCUUGAUAUAAUGCAGGUAAUUCCGUCGAACAAUAAUGGUCUUGUUCAUCUUAGCGCUGUGGCAAGUACCAGCUAAGAUACGUCCCCUGAUAGAGACAUUCCCAGUGAAUGGGCAUUUCUUAUCAAUGUAUGUCCCUGUUAGAUCCCCAAAAAUAUCGAAUCCAUAUCAGCAAAAACACUAAAUGCUCAUCAUCCAAUUACUCAACUCCUCCAAGAGAAAUUAUACUCCCACAUUUCCCUAGUUCAGCUAGGAACAUCUUAUAUCAUCAAGGCUAUACUAAACACACUUUUCGCCAUUCUACGAGAAUUCAAACCAUCCAAUAACAAAGAGCAAUGCGAUCACACAUUUUUGUACUGAAACAAAUCGAUCAAAUUGCCACAAACAAAUCAAAAACUCAAGUAAAACACAACAUGUCCAUACACACACUACUCCAUUUCACAACAAAAUCGAGAGUGCAAUACCUUCGAUGGCAUCCCUCGGGGUCUUGAAGCCGAGCCCGACGCUCUUCCAGAACCGGUUGCCACCUUUUCCAGGUCUCUUUCCCUUUCCGGUUUUCUUCGAGCUAAAAAACCAAAUCAAAACCUUAAGAAAACAAAAAUCAUGAUCAAAUUGAAUAAAAACCAAAUCUUGAUUUUGAAGCUGAGAAAUUCACCUCAAGAACACCUUAGGCUGCUUCAGAAAAGCUUUCUCGGUCUGAAACCAAAUCACACUGUUAGUGAGAGCAACUAAACCCUAACCAAAGAGUAGAGAGAGAGAAAGAGAGAGAGCGAACCUGUUCGGCCAUGAUUGAUUGCUCGGAGAGACGAAGGUGAGUUUCGGCGGAGGCUCGGCGGCAGUUAAGCUCUAAACCCUAAGAUGCACCAGCUGUGAGCUUCUCCUACAAAUUAUAAGGGCGGCAAUUCGGGUCGGUUUGGGCCCAGUUUAAGCCGGUUUUUCUCAUGGGCCAGAAUGGAUUGUACCUUUGGGCCUUAUGAACUAUGUUUAAACACGUGUCCUGAAGGAAGCUGUGAUCAAAAGCAUAGAGCUUGUGGCACAGAUUCUCUCAACCUUUUUUUUUUUAGAAGAAAAAGAAAAUUAUAACGAGACGCUUCUAGGGCAGCCAAUAUUAACAGUAUCUAAAUGGAAUGCUUGCGCAGCCUGAGGAGGAAGCGCACCUAGCCAAAUCUUCAGAGAAUGCAAACUGUACCCGAGAUUUACAAGAGCAUCAGCUAAGAAAUUAACUUCUCGGAAGACAUGAUCAAAGCUGAUAUUAUCAAACUCACUAGCAACAUGAAUGACAACAACUUCUCUCAACUUGAAUAAUAAAUGUUAGAUGUUAUUUGAGACUACUACAAGGACUAACCUAAUAAAGGUUUAUAUCCAUCAUCAGCUCACAACCUUUCUUCAUAUCACCGAAUACAUCCAUCAAGGUGGUAGGGAUGCUGGCUGAAAAUUGAAGCAUAACCCUGAAACCUUUGAUCAUGAAGGCGUCAAGCUCUACGGUUACUAAGAGUCGACGGAGAGGUUCGAAUCCAGGGAGUCUCAUGUACGUUUUGCGAUCGAGCGAGGGCAAGGAGGCAGUUAAAAUUCGACUCCAACUCCAUGAAAACAGGUGUUGGAGAAGAAGGAUAUAUCGAGGAAGGAAUUGAGCUGCUACUCGACAUAUCAAAAAGCAAGUGGAUUCUUGGUUGGUUGAAAAAAAAAAUGGCUAUAUACACUGAUAUACAGGCAGGAUGAAGAAGCUGGAGGAAAAUCUAUCCAAACAUUUCAUGUUGUCAUCCAAUCAGCCACCUGCUGAUCUACUAUAAGAGAUAUACAAGAUAAUUCAAAAACCUCACAUGAAUCACCCCCAAAGAUGAAAUUCGGACUCAUAAUUUCAAGUCAAAUAACUCUCUCAUAUUUAUAUAUCUUCAAAAUCACGUCCCCAGAGCAAAUCAUAACUCAAAAGUUCUACAAUCUUGCUUGAGAUGUAAAAAAAGAAAGCCGAUAUUGACACAAUGAGUAACGCCAUGCACCAUUUGCCGGCAGCAGAAGUACAUGAUUUUGUAACUGAAGAUAACUGAUCACUUUUCACCAUGGAUAGCUGCUUAGACAAGAUAACCUACUCGUUCUGCAUUUUAAGAAGCCAAUACUGUCAGUUCACAAAACCCAGGAGAAACUCUUAAACUUCAGUAUAUAUUUCCUAAUGCUGCGGUGUAAGAUUAUUGUUCCCACAAAGGAUGAUCUCUCUUGAAUUGUAAUUCUUGAACUAAGUUCACUAUGUGACAUCUUUAAGUUAUGCUAUGUAGGACAUUCACUACGAAUUAUAAGAAGCCAUGACUUGGUAGUAAUCGUUAAUUGUAUGCUGUAUGCUUCCACUACUGACUUUAAAAUGUGGGGAAUUUAUUUUAGAGAGACAAUAUGACUAUAACGUAUGGCAACCUUAGAAGCAUCAGUUAAAACAGAAAGAGAGAAUCAAAACAAAAAAUGGAUAAGAUUUUCAACAACAGCACCUUUUGACGUUUUGAACUAGGAGGCUCGUCACAAUCACUCUGACUAUGCCGACGCGAUGUCCCAACAUUGGAAUUUUCCGUCUGCAAAACAUAUACAUGAUGACUUCAAGUUCUCUAUUAUUUAAAUUUUGUUUACUUCAGCCUAAAAUCAAGAUUUACAAAAUGUAAAUUUUCUUUGGCCAUGAUGGGGAAAAAUGCUAACUGAAAUAGAAACCCAAAGCCUGUUGAAACAUGAAGCAUAGAAGGCCAGUAAAUGAUAGAUGGUGUAACAUGCAUACCACGGUGGAAGAGUCUUGGGCCAUUGUGUGCUCAGAAGAAUUUUCCGCUUCUGCAGGUACAUGACCUGGCUCUCUAGUUGCUGCUUGAGAUAUCAAUGGCAUUACUUGAUGAAGCAAAUUAGACAAAAAUAAUCCUUCUUCAGUAACCCUCAGUUCAGCUUCUGGAGCAACAGCAACACCACUAGGUGUCCUUGCCUGAUCUGAUACAGAACUAGAAUUCAUUCCUUGUACACUGCCAUCUUCUACGCGAAUUUCAUCACCAGGAAAGAGAGCCCUUAGUAUAUUUAAAAUACCGCUUGGGACCUGUCUCUCAGAUUCUUGAUCGUUUUGGGUUCCACCAGAUGAAAAAAGGUUGAUACUAACACUUCGUCCAAUGGGGGGAUCUGGUUGCCUUAUAUAGGGAGUUGAUCCUGCAAGACACAGCCAGUAUAAGUAUUUCAACUAGUAUAGCUACUUCAGAGUCUUGGUUAACUAAUGUAGAAGAGACAAACUCAAUCCGGUUGGCGUACUUGGUUUAUAAUUUUGUAAUACUCAACAGAAAGAAAAAAUGGAAAUAUUACCCUCUCUUGCAGGAUCUGUAAUGUUUUCUGAAGAUUGCCGAUCAGUAUGAAGGCCGGCAGGAUGACGAUCACCAGAUGCUUGAGAUACUUGCUCAGCAUUCACAUUUCCAGAAGCUACAUUUUGAGACCUUCCAAGAAAUGGAUAGUAUAACCCAAAUGAACUACCAGCAGACUCCGAUGGUAUGCGACUGCCAAGUACGGUCCUGAUUGGCACUACCCUUGGCCUUACACCCAAAUCUCCAGCAGAAGCUGAACCAUCUGAGAUACUUGGCGCUGUUUGAUUGGCAGGAUUUUCACCACCUGAACUUGGUGCUGCGUUUCUUUGUAAAGGUUGCUGAAGAUCGAGAUGCUCCUCUCGAUUGACAUUGGCAGUGGUCGUUGGUGAACCUUAUGGUGAAAGUAAAUAAUACUUAUACACGGGCAUAUAUUUUACAUCAAACAAGAAGUAGACAGAACAUGGAAUAUAUAACAGGUACCUCUUCGUAUUUGUAUAUCAAUACGCCUUGGAUGAAAACCAGAACCAAAUCCAUUCAGUAGACCAGAACCAGGCUGCAGAGCUCCCAUGGGCAUGGCACCUACACUCAUUCCUGAUUGAAAUGGAAGAGGCUGGCCGAGUAUCAUUCAGUCUCAAUCAGCACAGAUAAACAAACUUCAGAAGAGAGAUUUCAAUCUCUGAUUUAGGUGUAGAAAAAUACCUGAACCAUUAUAGGGUUAGGACCCGUCGGGGAUAUGAAAACUGCAGGUCCAGCAUUAACCACUGCAUCAGACUGUGAGAGAUGAGCCAAAAAAAAAAAUUACACAUCAGAUAAUACUCGAAAGGAAUUUGAUGAGUCAGAAAGCAAAUUUGGAUUCAGAUGAUACCGGUGUUAGGCCCAUUUGCACUGUCAUCAUUGUACGGCCAAGUUCAAGUAAACAGGCACCUAAAUUAUGAAUCACGGCUCCGGUACUCAAUGAACUGGCUUGGAUUCGCCUCCUUACUGAGUGAUCCGUCACAUUUGCUUGAUUCUCCAACUGGCUUGCAAGUUGCUGCAAAGAUGAUGUAGCAUGAAAAAUCACUAUGUCUUUUCGUUUAACAGAAUAAAAUCAAAGAGUCGUAAGCUUGUAGCUAAAUUAUGAGGACACCAGAUAAAAUCAAGCUACUAGCACACUAUCGAAUUUGAAAGGCCAAAUUAUAUACUAGCGACAAUAUAUAGGAAAUUUACAAUUACACUUGAGAACGCACAAGUAGAGAGUCUCCAACUUGUUCAAUGAGUAAUAGUCUAGCAGUACGGAUGACUUCUGCCAAUGAUGCAGGUGAGGGGGGGCCCUCUCGUCUUAUUCCAGAACCAGAUGACGAAUUCGAACUUCCGUCAUUCCUAUGAAUAGCUGCUUGACUCUGUCCUCCAUCUCUGGCUGUUAGUGAAUCAAUAAAAGCAAUUAUAGAAAACCAGAAGCAUAGGUGAAAAAAACAUAAAUUAUCAAAAGACCUAUGGAGAAUACUCACCAAUUGCCUGAAAGUCGCGCCUUAUAUGACUCAGAUAUCGAGAUAAAGUAUUCAACGAAUCAGGAAUCACCUAAAAGGACCACCAAUAAAGCAGAAAAGUCAAUUCAUACAGAUCCAAAUACUAAACAUCAAAGCAGGCAUAAAAUAAAAUGAUAGAAUAAAGUUGGAACUUUAAACUUGCCAGAGGUGGCAGAUUCCCCAAUGAAAAUGCCGCGGACUGACCAAAAGUGUCAUUUGAUCCAUCAGGUUGAGCCCUUGCGGUAGUUUGCUCAGAAAGAAGUUGGGUUAAACCAAACAAACCACUCAAACCUGAUGUCCUUUCUGGCCUAUUUGUCCCAGGAGGAAACUGCAGCAUAUCAACCAUCCAUGUACCAAAUUUAAGAUACAAGUACAGAGAAGUAAUUGACAUUCGACAAAAAGUGGUAUAUGAACGUAGAUUAUACACAAUAUUUAUUAAUUCUCAAGAGGCGCCAUUGCAAUUUCUCUUUUCCUUUCAACAUCAAACAAUGCAAAGAAGCAUGGCUAAAUUUUUUACUUCGGCACCCACCAGACCCGAAUAAGUCAAGUGUGCAGUUACAGGCAUACUUUGGGUCAUAUAAGGUUUAGCUUGAGUUUUUAAAGUUUUAACGUUUACCAUGACAUCAACCCCUUCACUGGCACUUGCAAUAUUUGGAAUUCCGACAGAGCCCAGAACAGCGGAGAGAAACUACACACCAGCAGAGAUAAUAAUAAAAAAACCAUCAUAAUUAGACAUAAUUCGACACGUGGGAACAUAUAUCAUUUAGUUAGUACUCACCCGACUAUAAUCUGGUUGAACAUCCCCCCCAACAGGCAAACUGAAACUUUCAAUGAAGACACUUGAUCGACCACGGCUUGUACUUGAAGCAGGAUCAGUUGCUAAAACCAGUGAAAGCAUGCAAAAAACAGCUGUGAGAUUUAACAAUUGUACCAAUAGAUUGAAAAGAGAAACAUUAGCGUGUCAAAAGCUUAUACCACAAUUUCCAUAGAAGAUGUGGCCAAUCAUAUAUUGUCAAAAGAAACAUUUAAAGAAUAUCAUUAUACGAGUGAUAUCAACCUGAAUGAUCUGCUAGUCCCUCAGAUGAUGGUGGAAUAGGUUGUCUGACAACCAAAUGUAAGGUGUGGCCAUCCUCAACAUCUAAAUCAUGUUAAGAAAAUAUUUGAAAUGCUUCAUAUCAAAAUCUGGUGAGUGAAACUUAUUUAAAAGUAGCAAGGGGCAUAUGAGCUUGACUCAAUAAAUUGAUAUUAAAUCCAUCUUAAGCAGUAACUUAUAGCCGCGCAUAGUUAAUAUCCCAGAUUGAUUGGUGACAUAUUAUACUAGCUAUGUAUCUUGAAGGACGAAGAGAUAAAGCACUCUUAAGUAACAAAGACAGCACAGAGUUUCAAAGCUUCAACUUCUACCAAUCAAAACAUUGAAAACAACAAAAGAAUAGGAUACGAUAGGCGGAGAGAAGCUGAUCAUCCUUGAGAACUUUUCCUCUGCAUAUUAGCCGUUGUUGCUCUGACAGCACACCAGUAACAGAGGCAAUCUGUUCUUUCAAAAUAGGAACUGGCAUCUGCAGUUCAUAAAACAAGAUAUUUAGAAAGCUUCAACAGCACAUAUAAUACCGGCAUGUCCUCACAGGAAUUAUUGAACUAUUCUGGAACUAGCAAGAGUACUUACCUCUUUAUCCACUUUGAGAGUAUAAGUUUGUGAAUCCAAUGUCUUUACUUUUAUCUCUAUCGUGGGCUCACUCAUCAAAAUAUCUUCAGCGCCAGUACUUCCCAUUCUUCUCAGGUCACACCGAUCCCUACAAAGAGGCAAGAGUACAUACAAGUCAUAAUCAUUCCACUUCCUUUUCUCCCCAUGUAUGAUUCUCCAAAAUCUAAACCGAUAUUGUAAACACAAAUUUCACUUAAAAAAAAAACUCGUCCUCACUAUUCUGCACUGACAGAACUAAACUCAAUUCCAAGUCUGCAAACAUGCAACACAACACAAAAACUGCACACAAUGACAUUGUGUAUGACAUAUGAAGCUGCAAAUAAACAUACAUAAACAUCAAACUCUUCUCAACCCAAUAAUCAACCAAAACCCAAAAACAACAAAACCCUCUUCAACUGAACCAACUCAAUUCCCAAUUCAACAACAUGCAAUCCUCACAUCACCAAACCCCAAGAAAUCCUAGGGUUUCAGACCCAACAAAAACAUACACACACAAUAAAGACUCAAACUUUCGCAACCAGCAACCGCAAAACUCGUAUCCGGCAAGCACCCAAUAAUAACCAGACCCGAACCCGCCCGAAAACCCGACUCACCCACCUAGAAACCGGAAAAACGAAAACCCCAAUUCGGCCACGAUCAAGAUUCAAGAAGCUGUACCUGGUUCGCCAAAAGACCAAAACUUUAAGCUUGAAUUGUCGGAUUUAGCCCUCCGGAGACGAGAACGGUCUCGGCGUCUGUGUCGUCUUCGGCGGUGGCGGUCGUCGGUGUGUGCCAGUAAAAUGAAGGACGACGACGAUGACGAUGACUCGAGGGAGGGAAAAAUAUCGGGUGGUGUCACGAAACCCUGUAAUAAUAAAGUUAUAGAACUUUUUUACCUCUUGUAAAUUUACCCUUUUGUCUUUUUUCGAUUUUCACCGCGUGCUUUUUUACUCUCGGGCUGAUUUGGAAUGGUAAAAAGAGGAGGGCAAAUUCACCACGUGGGACCCACACACACCUGGGGAGAUUUUGUUUUUGUCCAUUUUAGGUUAGAAUGUAAGAAAUAAGAUUAUGGGAUACGUGGUUCACCUAAUCAGAGAAUCAUGGUCAAUCAUUCUGAAUGUAAAUUUAAUGGUGAAAAGUAUUAUUUUAAAGUUAAAUUAUUUUGUUUUUAAAUCUUAGAUUUAAAUCUAACAGUGGUACUAAUGAGUUAUUGACUUAUUGGCAAUAUACACGAGUAUUACGAAUGUAAUUCAAAAGAACAAUGGUUGAAGAUUAUCAACUCAAUUUGAAUCUUGUUUUUUUUUUUUCUAUUUGUUAAUGCUUUUGUAAUUUAAUCGUUAGUCUCUCCGUCUUUGGCUAAUUCUCCAACUCCUAACGAGUUAAGUGUUAGUAAAUAAAUAUUCCUUCUUCAAAAGGAAACCAUACUUACCAAAGAAUAAUAGAAGGACAAACCCCGAUAGUGGCGCGCGCGCAGCUAGGUUUAGUUUUGGAAAGAUUUUAUAACUUCCAUACAGAACAAGGAAAUAAAAGGAAUUACCUCAAUGGAAGAGGAAAUAGUACGUGCAUGGGAGUGAUGGGACCUAUAAAUAGCUAGGUUAGUUAAUUACCUGAGCCACGCCAAGUUAACCAGUCUCGAUCAAACACUGCUUCAUAGUCUCAAUCACCAAACUAUGUCAAAAUCAGUGAUUCUUGUGGAGGAGAUCGACAAGUUCCGAUAUCGUAGCGAGAUUCAAGUAAAAGAUAUAAUCAGCUCAUCCACAAAGAGAAACUGGCACUCGUUGUCAGAGUUCCACCCUAGCGAGGUGGUUGUGUUCGAGUUUACUCUCACCAGGUCUUCAGAAAUAAUUGAUUCGGUACUCUUUUCCGAUCGAAAGCCGGUUAUAGUCCACCGUUCCGAGCUCUUCGACGGCGUCGAUACUUUGAUGCAUAAGGUGGUUGAGGUCACGAAAGAGGCUCUUAGAAGCAUGCGUGCUCCAGACGAGUACCUGCCGGAUACAAUUGCAAAGAUUUUCGACGUGGUUCGGUGCCUGGCAAGAGACAUGAAUCACCGUAAUGAAGUUUCCGUUAAUGUGGACAUAAAUUACUGUCAACUUAUUGAUCAUGGUGAUGAUGACAAUAGGGUUUCAGGCCAAGGAUCGAUGUCAAUGAAUUUCGGGUGGGGGUCAUUAAUGGAACCUCUUGAUAAUGAUGACGGAGUCUUCAAAGUUUCUGGCUUCGCCAACCCUAAUGAUGCAACUAAAUCAGCCAUUGAGAAGUUGGAGAAAGAGACUUGCAAGUUCAUGAUGUGCUACUUGUAGCAAUUUUGUUGAAACUUUCGGCAAGAUUACUUGCGAAUCUAACAACAUCGAGCUAUUGUUUUGAUUUUCAUGUUAAAGUUCUUAGAUACGAGUUUAUAUAUGCUCAUGGUGCUCAAAUUUAAUUCGUAAUUAAUAAUCUUUCACCAUUCUAAUUGAGAAACUUUCGCUGCUAAAUUAAACCGACUUCAAACUCUAACUUUAGUACCAAACGGACAAGAAUUUAUUUAUUCAUCAUGCCAUCAAGUCGAUUACAUGAUCAAAUUAUUGUUGCUAACAAACUAUAGGGAAAACAAACUACAUGUAAUAAUAGAUAGCUAAUUAGAAGAUCAAAUUCCAAAUCAUCAUCUAGCAUUGUCGAAGUCGAAUAAUAAGACUGAUGAUCUCUGCUCGUUCCCAUCAUUAUUCUAGUCUGCAACAUAAUUAAACAACUCAUCAAUUCACUAAAAUUUCACACAAAUUGGCUAGAAGGAGUAUGCAUGGCUGACCAAGUUAUGACAUACCUGAUUAAAACAUGGCUGGGGGUGGCGGGCUUACAUUCAUGCAUAUUGCAAUACACACAGGUAUACAAGCCGCCGGUGGAAUAUCCCUUGGUAUAUUGAAUCGUUUCCAACCAGGAGGACUGGGUGGAGAUCUAGGAGGUGUAGGAGCUACCGGAGCAGGGGGAGGGGGAGUACCAGGAGGGGUAGGAGCUUGCGGAGCUGGGGGAGGCGGAGUACCAGGAGGCGUAGGAGCUUGCGGAGUUGGGGGAGGUGGAGUACCAGGCGGUGUAGGAGCUUCAGGAGCUGGAGGAGGGGGAGUACCAGGAGUUGUAGGAGUUGGGGGAGUAACCGGAGCUGGUGGAGUAACCGGAGUUGGGGGAGUAACCGGAGCUGGUGGAGUAACCGGAGUUGGGGGAGUAACCGGAGCUGGUGGAGUAACUGGAGUUGGGGGGGUUCUAGGAGUUGGGGGGUUUCUAGGAGUCGGGCGAGUUCCUCUGCGACGCCAAAAGAACCUGCUAUAGGUUUGUGAUGCAUCAAAGAUGGAGGCACAAUCAGCGCUACAUUGGAUGGCACAAAGAGAAACAUCAGCUACAUUAGGACUUGGUGGUGGUGUUGGCGGUUGUGGAAGAACAUCUGGUGGGGGUGAUGGAGGUUGUGGAAGGACAUCUGGAGGCGGAGGUAGGGUAGCCACAGCUGGAGGUGGAGAUGGUGGUACUAACGCCGUGGAAGGGUCAUGGCUGGGAACGGGAGGUGUAACUAAGCUCACUUGAGCUUGCAACACAACGGAAUGAAGGAGCACAAACAUAAGCACGGUAAAAAUCCUCAUGUUUUCUAGGCACUUUUGCUUGACUGCUUCUUUUUUCUGUAGAUGAUAAAAAAUGUACAGUAUGUGGCCUCUAUAUAUAGCCAUACAAGUGAUACAACGUACCCUUCAAGUUAUCAAUCCUGAGCUCAUGAUCGAUGAUCUCCUCUUAUCAAUCAAAUCAAUUACAAUUUGAUUUAUGUACUAGGAUCAUAAUUACACAUACAUUAUAAAUUUAUCUAUCAAUUACAUAUUAUCGAUCUAAUCUUACCUGACCGUCAAUUGUCAACAAUCAUGACCAAGUACGUAAUUAAACAAGAGGUUAACUAGAGAAAUAAUUAGCUGUAUCAAAUUAUCAAUCAUGAGCUCAUGAUCUUCUCUCAUCAAUCAAAUUAAUUACAAUUUGAAUUUGAUUAUGUGUUCGAUCCUAUGAUAUACACACAGUAAAUCAUAUCUCUCAAUCACAUCUUAUAUGAUCUUAUCUGGCCGUAUUCACACAAUUAACAAAGAUAAAUUUUUGAUUAUUGAUUGUUAAAGAACUUUGUUUGAUCACUUAAUAGUUUGAUAUCCUUAACGAAUCAAAAAUACGCUAAUCCAUGUACAUCACGACUCUAAGAAAAAUAGGAUUAGAAAAUCUCAGAGUUAUGAUGAAUAAGCCAUAUAAUUUAGGUUUUCCCAAUUCCAUCAUUUCUAUAUAUGGAUUUAUGUGGUUGCAAACUAUACUUUACCAUAAUUUAAUUAUUAGUUGAAUACAUACAUAAGAUGAACCAGCUGCAUGCCAACAACAAAACAUGUAUAUGACAUCUUGUUAAUGUAUACGUAUUUUCUCAUGUGAUUUAACGUAAAAUGUAAUGAGAUUGAUUAANNNNNNNNNNNNNNNNNNNNCACAAUCUUCAAAAAUCAAAAUGAUCGAAUUAGAACAUAUAUCAAUUGUUACCAUAUUGGUCUUGUUACCUUGCAAAAAGAAUCCACUUUCAAUUAGCUCUAUGAUUCUCAUUCAAUUUACAGCUUUCUGAAACCGUGUUUGAUUCUUCGGCUUAGAAAACACACAGCCUACGACUAGGAAAGACUUAUUUAUCAAAUCGCAGCCUACGACUAUAUCUGAAAGGCUUGUAAGAAACAUAGGAAUAUGAGGAUGUUCCUAGCACCCUUGAUUGAUGUAAAAAUAAAGGGGAGUGUAGACUUUAGGAGGAGUCUAACACACAUACACUAUCAUAGGUGUGUUGUGCUAUUUUUCCCUUCGACCAAGAUUUAUUUUAUCCCACUGGGUUUUGUUACUUGGCAAGGUUUUUAAUGAGGCAACACCACAUGCACCAUUUCGUCUUUGACUUGGCUCAAGGGGGAGUGUUGAAGGAAAAACACAUUUAUGUGUGUCUUCGUUAAAGUCGUAACCGGAGAGUAAAUUAUGUAAUUAGUGAUCAAUUAGUGUAAUUGCUCAAUCAGUUAUCAAUCAAAUUUUAUUGUCAUUAUAUACGUUAUAGUUACAUUUGUAAUAUCACCUCUAUAUAAAGAGGAGCUUCAAUCAAAUAAGUAGACCAAUUCCAUUUUUCCUGUAACAGGUUAUGUAUUAGUAUUUUCCCAUGUGAUUUUACAUAAAAUGCAAUGAGAUUGAUUUAUACAUUAUGCACAUACGAAAAAAAACAAAAAACAUGUGAGCCCACAUGUACCCUGCAAUCAAUAUGGUGGGAGCAGAAUCGCCGUGAGCCCAAAAUGCCAUGAUCGAUCAGCAAAUCCCUUGCAGCAUAUACCUACUCAAUCAGUGAACAUGUACACCACGCCCAGGACUUCAAUAUUUCUAUCUACAUACGUUGUUGUUCGCUCUUUUUUCUUAAAGAGCUCAACAAAAUCCCAGUAGCUAGAAUGAUCCAAAUCAUUGUUUAAAAGCAGCAUAACGAUAAGAAUCAAGCAUUACUAGAUUUUUAGAAUAUUACUUUACUAUAUACGCACAAAAGUUGAUACAUAUAUCAUUCCUAACCCUAAAAUUCUGCAGCAUUUCUGUAAUGCUGUCCAGUACGUACUUAAAUACUAAUUCUAGCUAGCUGGCUAUAUAUUAUUCCUCUUAAUUAAUUUAUUGGUCUGUAACAGUACUCGACUGAGGAGUAGUAAUGCUUAGUUUUGAUUUACAUCGAUAUUGAUCGAUCAGUUGUGUAUCGGAGGUUUUUUCCUGGCCGGAGAAUAAUCCAUUUCGGUCAGGUCUAUGAGGUUUGGAUAUUGUUGUCGGGUGGUUGCAACCUCCUCCUCAGCUUUCGGAUUCCCAAUUUGCUUGCCAACAAUAUUCUUCUCGUUCUGUACAUACAUAGAUCGAAGUAAUUAGUCCAUUGCUAGCUAGCUAAUUACAUACUGAUCCAAUUACUUUUUGAUUAAUAAGUAUUCGUUAUUGAUGAACAAUAACCAACCUUUGAAGUGGUGGUAGAAGAUCUCACAGUUAUUAGUUUUCUACUGCUUCCUGCAACAAUAGAAAUGAAGCCACUAAUUAGGUAUGGUCCUUUUUUAUCACUAUAAAGUUUAGUUGCACUAGCAUAAAUAUCAGUUAAUCAUAUACAUAAUGGCUUGUAAAGAUCUAGUAACUAGUACUAAUUAUAACAAGUCAGUAGUUAGACUAUAGUUCAGCUGGGACAAGGGCCUGGGACAACAUGUGUUCUGUAGCUAAAUUGAUUAAUACAUGGUAUUUAAGCUAGAGGGGUUCCGAUCUUCUGAAACCCAACUGAUCUGUCAUGAAGAACGACAUGCAUUAUAGCCGGACAAUCAAAAAAUGAAAAAGCGUCAAUCGAUCGAGAAGAAAGAAAUGGAUCUAUCUAUAUCUAAUCUACUCAUGAAGCUAAGAAGGAAUAUAUGAAUGUAAUUAACUAAUGGUGCUUGGAUCUGUGUCUCCUAGGUCCACAGUAAUCUUCAUGAAUGCUUGGUAACCAGUGGUGUGAGUGUGAUGAUGCGGAGGACUUCUCGGACGACGAUAUCGCUGAGGAAGAAGAAGAUCUAGAAACUUUAAAUUUCUUCAAGCUAGUAGUACCUGAUGAUGAGCAGUGAUCAUCAUGUCCACAAUCUUUUCUGAGUACACCAGAAGCUGCAGUGCUUUCACUUUUUUUGGUUAAAACAGUACUAUCCUCCUGAAACAUUCAAGAACAAUUAUAUCAGUUUUAGAUCCAAACAUAGAGGAAAAGAAAUGUAAGAAACCUCAAAAAGAAAAGACAAAAGGUACCCACAUGAAUAUUCUUGUUUUGUUGUUUAACUGAGAUAAAUCCUUUCUCCAAUCGGAUCCCUUCAAUACAAGAUAACCAGAAACUCACUUCAGAACCAAUUCCAAUUGCAAUGAUAUAUAUAUAUAUAUAUAUAUAUAUAUAUAUAUAUAUAUAUACAUCCAAAACAAGAUCCUGAUUCAUCUCAUACUUGAAAAAUGCAAUUAUAUAUAUAAAUGGUGCAUACCUUGAGCCUGCGGAAGGAGAAGGAACAGAAGAAGAAGAAGAGAGACUGCUAGAGGUGGUGUAGUACUCAUCUGGACUAAGGCUUAGUUAUGAUGAUAUUUCAAAAGAAAGAUUGAAGAUCAAAGCUGCAAUUGCUAGUAGAAUCAAAUAGAUCAAAUAUAGGAAUGAAUGGAUUGGAGGAAUUAGUAAAUGUUGUCAGGAACAAAGAUCUCUUUUCUCUGCAGGUUUCUCUCACUUUCUGUUCAACAAUUUAAGUUCAAGUAGAGGAAGUCUGUGAAUGAAGGAAUGGUACCUAGCUAGCUGCUUAUAUAGUUAAAUACAUAUAGAUAUGUAGGUCCAUAUUAACUUCUCCAACAUGAUCGAGCUUAAUUUAAUGGGAUCAAUUUAUCAUGGAGACCCAAAUCGACCAAAAAUAAAUUAUGAGGACCCGGCAUUGUCGAACAUUAUUAUGAAAAAGGCCAAUAAUAUAUAGGAAGCAUGGGAAAAGUGCAUUUUAUUUGCUUUUCAUUAGUCCCAUCUUUUUGGGGUAUAAUGAGGGUUUUCAUGAAUCCUGAUCGUUCUUCAAAUUCAAAUCUCGUUUUAUAUAAAUACAUAAUGAAAUGAACAGUUUACAGUCUAAUAGCUAGCUAGGCAUGCAUGCCUUUGGAUCUUUUCAGAUCGAGGUAUGAUGCAUCAAUCACAAUAUCACAUUUCAGGUUGUGUCUCAAUUUUCAUGCAACAAACUGGGUCUUUUCGGUUGUGGGAUUAGACUGUCUCAUUAUUUUGGUUAGUCAACGAAGCUACAUGAGGACUUGAGGUAGAAGCACAAGAACUAAUCAUGCAUAUAGAAACAGAAGGUAUGGAUACGACGCCUGCAUUUGAUAUUAUAUCCAUCUUGUGAAAAAUAACCUAUCAGUUACAUGGUAGGGCAUAACAGAGAGAGGGAUGGGACAUUUCAAGAAAGAAUACAAACAAGGCUCUCAUCAUUUCUAUGGGUAAAGGAAAGAAAUUUCACUCUAGGAAGUAAAAUACAUGGUAAACUUGUCCUUCUUUGAUAUCUAGGUCGUUUGUGAGGAUUUCAGUCGCGAAUCGUAUAUCAUAAAUCAAUAUCAUUGCAGCCAUUGCUUCAUUUUUACCAUGAUAACCUAGCUAGCUUUCGAAUUUCUGCCUCCAUAUUUCAACCCUUUCAAAACAAAAACAAAAAAACAGAGCGGGCAGCAGCCCACGCAUCAAGCAACAAGCGCAGUUAAUUUGACGGCGACAGGCAAACUCAGAGCCACCGUUUCUCAUCGCCAAACCACCGACGACCCGACGUGGCAGCAUGUUUCAUGCCUCGGCUACCGGCCCCCGCCCAACCUAGUGGUGGCCAGUCGGCCCACUCCACGUGGACGUCCACAUCCCGGUCACCGCCGUAUCACGAGCCAUGUCUGUUAUUUCGCCGUCACCCAAGCAUCCCCGAUGGGGACCUUGUCGAAACCAAACCUUUCGUCGCCGAUUCUUCUUUUCCGUGGCGAAAUGGUUCUAGGGUUUAGAAACCUUUCGUUGCUUUUGAUUUCUGUGUCGGAUAUGGUUUUAAACACGUUGUUCAUCUCGUAUUCAAAGGAAAAGACAAACAGAAAAAUCAACAUCUUUUGAACAAAGCGAAAUAGUUUUCUUGAAUGAUUAAUCACUCAUCAGUGAAGCUAAAAGCCGAUCUGGACCUCACUAACUUUAGAGAACCUGUUACGGAGCUUGCUAAGUUCUGUUUGUGCUUUCUGUCAUAGAAAAAUGCUCAAGCUGCUAUCAAAUGACCUAACCAGCUAUAUAAAGGUACGCUAAUUAUAAACUAAUCACUCUUAAAGUAUCCUGUAGACUCCUGCUGCCUUUUGUAAAUCCUUUUCAAUUAUCCUCAUUUUGUACGUGCAUCUAAAUUAACUAGUUAAUUAUCAUCGAAUAUGCAGAAAAGAAUGAAUUGAUAUUCUUGUUUAGUCCCUCUCAGGAGUUUCAGGAUCAGAAUAUACAACUAAUCAAAGUGUAGUGACUGUUAUUUGUUGAAUACAAAUGAUUGUUGAAACGAAUUAUAAGAUUUAAAGAGUCAUGGGAUGAAUAUUAGUUAAUGUGUAAGUUACUUUUAAACUAAUCAAGUUGGAUUUGAUUACAUGCAGGUGGUUAUUUACAUAUAGAUUGAGCCGACAGCGAGACAUUACAUGUUUUUAGGGUUGAGCUAAUGUUCGAAAUAGGACCACCAUUGUCAACCGAUUUCAAAGCUGAACAUUUCGUUGAUCUAGAGACAUGUUUUGUGGUGGCGUGUCUGGUUACAAUACUCGUUUACAACCAGAUAAUCCAAUACGAUGAUUUCAUAUAUAUAUAUAUGUUCGAUUAAGACAUAGAUAGUUUAAGAUUUACGUACACCAUAUGUGUGUGUAUAUAUAUAUGUAUAUAUAACAUUUCUUGGAUUUCAGAUAAAGAUUGAGUUUCACACAUAAUGAAAUAAAAGCUACGUACUCGAUAUCUCUACGUGCUCGAUGCAUCAUACCAUUGUAGCACAAAAAAAAAAAGAUAUCUCUACGUGUUAUAAAUCUUGCUCGAUCUCCUGGCCUUUUAUUCCUGAACUUCUCAAACCUCGACUAAUAGUGUUGUCAUUCAUAUGUCGAAGAAAAGGAUCAAAUUUCAUGUGAUCAUCGUUUACCAUACCAAAGAAUUCCUCUCCAUAAGACUAGGUCCUGGAAGCUGGAACAUGCAAGAAAAAAUUGACCAAAAAAAGAAGAAGAAGAAUAUGCACGAAACAUUAGAGCUUGGAAGCGUACAUAGAUUGGGAAUUUGAUCGAGAAUCCUACCACCUUGUUCGAUCACACAUGCAGACAGAAACAAAAACACAGUGCAUGCGGAGGCUUUGAAAUUUAUGUAAACUUGUCCUCCACUACAGGCUACUACUCUUUGCAUUAUUGUUAUAAGGAAGAAAUAUCGUGCUCUCUGUUUGCCUCUUUUUGGUUAUAACUUUUCGGUCUUCGGUCUUCUCAUACUAGAAUUCACGAACUUAAUUACCUAACAUGUUUUGUGCUAGAUUGGCACAUGGGUGCGACCCCAUGCAUGCCAUUUGCCAUGAAGCUCAAGAUCAAGAUCGAAGAAAUUGAAUAGAGUCGAAGAAGAAUACAAGAAGGGAGUACGUUAUACUUCAAUUUAAAAACCAUGGAGCUCGAGAUAGCUGGUGCACAUAGUCAUUUGUCAUACGGUACUUGUUUCUCCAAGUAUAGCCAACAAGGUCUUUAUUUUCGAUUAUAAGGUAUAGUCAACAAGUUUGUGACAUGUGUCGGGCCACACCCGCAACACAAACUCGAAAGUUCAUUGAUUGAUUUGACAAUACUUGGUUUCUUGUCAUCGGAUGGCCUUCGCCCUAACAAAUUGUACUUCAUAUAUUGAUCCAGCUAAUUUACAAGCUAUGUACGUAGUUGGAUAAGUUGUCAUUCAUGUUCGAUUGAGUUCUUAUGAAACUUGAGAAUUAUCAUGACAUCUUUAAUUUAAUAUUACAUCAGUAAGUAAUUAGUUAUUCAUCAAUGGUUGUUACGUCUACUGUACCAAAGGAAACCGAACUAGACAAAUACGUUGAUCUCUUAAUGAGUUCCUAAAAAAAACAUUACAAUUUCUUCAUUCAAGAAACAAUAAUUUACCUUAGAAUGAGCUUUUUCUUUUGUAAUUUGAGGAUACAAUUGAGAUAUAUAAAACUAGGUGUAAUGAAAGCUAUUUUAACGAAAGGUUAAAAGCAUAAAAUCUACAACCACCUUACAGUCUUGAGAGGCUAGCUCGAUCGUCAUUUUACCGUUAAAAUCCAGCGCCACCUAAAUCGCUAAGCCACCCCCCAAAUGCAGCACCCAUUUCCCUCCACUCUAAUUUUGAUUCUUGACAUUUCUGGCUCUCGAUCGUUUAACACUAAUCUUUAUUAAUAUAUCUCUGCUUCAAUGAAAACCUAUUGUUAUUUCAAUUCUUUCAGUCUGUAAUUAUGCGUGGAACUUGUUCCAAUGUCGAUGAUUCCCUUCAAGAACAACCCUCUGAGCAGCCAAUAUUGUAAGUGAAUCAUAUCAGAAUUGUAAAUGCAUGUAACCAAUCAAUAACCAAAUACCCUUUUAGUAGUUCAUCGAGUUCUUAUACUGCGCGCAUGUACUCAGAAUAUGCGAGUGUUCCAAUGAGGGAAAUUGCGGAUGUAGUAAUAAAAGGAUGAUUUCUGCUGGAGAUGUUGGAUUACUUGCUACUUUCGAAUCCGAGAGGGGCAAUGGCCACCUUUUAUCUCUUCUUGUGAGUUUUAUUUAUUUAUUCCAAAGCAUAAACAUUUAACCUAUAUAUACAUGUACUGUCAUAUUGUUCAAUACUUGGUAGAAGUUGGUUGUGACUUGUGAGCCAAUUUGUGGAAGCAAGGGGCCUUAAACGUUCAUAGAUUUUCAAUUCCAUGGCUUUGAAUUCAUGCUUGGCCGUUGGCACAGUGUUUUCUCGGGUUCCAUAACCAGUAUUAUAAAGUUGUAAUACAUGGUGAAUCUUCUGCAGGCAUCUUCAUCUUCAUCCUCAUCCCAAAUAUCACAUUCACAUCAACCUUCAAAACCUACAAGCAGCCAGGUUUCAAACAAGUCAGAAUGUACAUCAUCAAUGGUCGACAAUCAUAACUCGUCGCGAAGACUAAUAGUCCGAAGGAACUCGAACCCUAAUCCAGAAGCUACAAUACGAGGCCUAACAAGUUGCAUGAACACACCGAACCUCGUUAACUCUGGAAAUUGCACCACACUUCUUUUCGGAUCCACUCCUCUUUGCCAAUUCUCUCUUUCUCAAGGUCUUUUUGGGGCGCCUUCGAAUCUUUUCCAGGCUGUAAUGCCUGCCAUUCAGCUUCCCCACGCAAGUGGAGAUUCAACAUCUCAAAUAGAAGAAGCUCCUGCUACUUUUGAUGAUAGUGGAUUCUCUAGUGAGAACCAACUAAUUGAUAUAUGGAGGCAACUCCUCAUGGAAUCGACUCUAUAUAUACACAGGCCGGUUGAUAACUCGUUAGAAGGUUCAAGUAGUUCCGUUUUUAGGGUAACUGCUGACACUGGAUCUGUGGACUUCAGACUUUUAACAGAGGUUUGCCCUAAUUCCUUUCACUACAAAUGUGCAGCAUGUUUAAAUUGAUCUGCAUAUUCGAUUACAUAUUCGUAUAGUCUAAUUCUGCACCUUGAUUGAUUACCUCGUGAAAAUUGCGCAGAACGCUGAAGUUGUUAACCAAUCACUGCUGUACUUUUCAAUCGAAAUGCGCAAUCGCUUUGGAGGCAUGAGGCUUGAUGUGGAUAACAUGUCAUAUGAGGUAGUAUUACAUGAAAGAUUUAGUGAUGAAUAAUGCUUUACCUGUAUGUAACAACAAUGCUUUGUUUCCACUUUUACAGGAGCUAUUGGCUUUAGAAGAUCGUAUAGGGUAUGUCAGCACAGGAUUAUCGGAGGAAGCAGUCGUUGCAUCUCUCAAACUCAGUAAAUAUUUUCUGCUUGCUGAUGAAAAUGCUGAGAAAGAGUUUUGCAGCAUCUGCCAGGUACCUCGUUCAUAAUUUCAUCUUCGUUGGAUUUUAUAUAGUUUCUGUGGCCAAGUAAUGUACAAUGGGAUCGAUGACAGUUACCAUUUUGGUUUUCAUAACAGGAGGAUUUUAUAGAGGAAGAUGAGCUAGGAACAUUGGAUUGCGGACACGGCUUCCACAUUUGUUGCAUCAAACAAUGGCUAGGAUAUAAAAACGUGUGCCCUAUAUGCAAAUCUCCUGCCUUAUCUACUACAUUUUCACAUAUUUAAAUUUUGUGAGGUGUCUUAUGUACAGUACGUAGUUGAGUUUUUUCUGAUAACUAUAUGGUGAGGACUGAGGACUCCAAUGAUUGUUGUGUUUGUCCGGCAUUCUUCACCAGGCUACAUUAGUUUUCCUUUACAAAAUGUACAUAUGUAACAUUUGUUUCUACAUGUACAGAUCAUAUGUGAUGAAAAAUCAUGAUAUCUAUAUCUACAUGCAUAUAUAUAUGUUUAAAUACACAUCCUUAUUUUCUUUUUAACAUGAUAAUUUCCAAAAAGCUCAGGAAUUCGAAUCGAAUAAGAUAAUCUAGUAAUACAACUACUAUUGCAAAACUGAAUCAACCAAGCUUUACGCUUUAGGGUUUAGAAUGCUGGUCUACUGACAGAGAUUUAUUGGCCUUGCAAUCCACGAAUUACGAUGUCGGCAAAGGUAAAGUUACUGCAGGCUCAGAUAUUUUGUCCAUGUCUAUUAAGCACGGUUGCCUUCUACAUUUCGUUUUCCACAACUUGUUUUGCUUUGAGUUGUUACGAGGAGAUGGACUUUGCUUCUUGAUAGAUACUUUUAGGGAAGAAGUUCUGAGGCUCCCAACAUGUGACAUGUGGGGGAACUAAACAAGGAUGAGUUUGGGGUUUGGCCUCAUUGUGGUAUGGGAUUUGACAAGAUAACCAGCACAUACAAGAUGGUUCGUCUUUACCAAAUUACAGAAAAGGGGAGAGGUCGCGGCUGGUAGCACUGGUUCAUGUACUAGGCACAAGCUCAUGGUAUGAGAUACCCGCACCAGCCUUUGCUCCUAAUUGUUUGGAGGAUUGUUUUUGCAGGGAAGGUAUAUGUGCAUAUGGAGACAUGCAUUGGAUGUUUUGCGAAAUUAUUACCAAACCCUACCUGAAUCAUAUAAUUUCUUUUGACUUCACGAAAGAAGAGUUCUAUUCGACACGUACACCUCACCCGGCUGCACUCUCAACAGAGAUGUCUGUGCAAUACAUUACAUUGAAAGGAUCUAUGGCCAUCCUGAAAAUCUCCGAGACUACAACUAUUGACAUCUGGGUAAUGAAAGAUUACAAUACGAAAGAGUGGACACUAGAGUACAACAUAGAUCUCCAAACUCUCGGACAAGAUCUUCUACUUAUGUUAUGUAGUGCUCGCUGUGAUGAAUGGGAGAAUGGCAUAGUUUUUAUAUCAGAAGAGUCAGAUACAUCAUUGUUUUUUGAUUCGAGAGACGUUCCGAUGAACCAUGUAACAUGUCAAAUCGAAGGAAACGAGAGCUGUGAGAAAAUCUUGUGUUUUAAAAGGAGCUUGAUUUGGGAAUUUGGUUGAAGGACCUAAGCCAGGUAGUCAUAGCCUGCUUGAUUUCUCUAGAAAAUACUUAUGGGAGUAACCUGAAAGAAGGAGAUCUUAGCAAGUGGCGGGAUGAUUUGAUAUCAUGGUUAGGAGAACUGUAUUGCCAAGCUCAUAAUAUAUAGAUCGAGUUCUCGCACUUGAUAACUUUGAGUUUGAGCUUAUUUGAUGAAACUGAAAUCAUUUUUUUUUUUUUCCGGCAUGUGAAGGUACAAGGGUAGUUGGCAUACUUGGCAAUCCUUCUAUUUCACAAAACACCUGAAGUUACUAUCAUUUGCCAAGAACAAGUUUUGAAGUCAUUAACUCUCUCAUGGUCUCAGGUAAAUCAUGCAUAUGCAUAGCAUAUGUUUUUCACAGACGUGCUAUCCUAGUUCUGAGUCUUUUGUUAUCUUUGAAUUCAAAGAUUUUGUUAUUAUAUUUUAAUAGAUCUUUGCUGUUUUCAAACUGAUAAUUGGCAACUGAGUUUUGUAAGUGUCUUGGUGCUCAAACCAGUCUAGGGUUGAGAUCUUUUGUUGUGCCAACUCGUGACCAAAUGGUUUGAUGCUCAAGGCUCCAGCUAAGGUUUUAUCAUACAUAAUACAAUGAUAGCUGGUAUGUGCUUGAUUCAAUGACCAGUCACUAUUGGCUGAGUCAUGGUCCUAUAAUGGACUGAGUAUAAGGUUCUAUUACCUUAUUGCUCAUUGAUUUGAAUUAAGCCUUGUUUUGGAAAGAUAGGUUUUGUCUCAUUGAGUUGCUUAUGACAACUCCAUUGGGGUUGCGUCACUUUCAGCUGCAGGAACCAAACAUUUUAGUCCAAAACCUCUUUCAAAACAGUUUGGUAAGUGUGUCUGCAUCUCUUGAGAUGUCUCACUUGCAUAUAUAUUCUUUUAGCUUAAGCUUUGCUCUUCAGUGGUUAAAAACUGUCAUAUUGCGUUUUUUUUGUUGAGUCUAGUUUUAGCUUGUAUUGUUCAUGCUGCUCUAAGUCUUCCUUGUGAUUAUAAACCUUAGAGCUUGAACGAAAACUUCUUUCAUAAACUCAUAUCAUUGUUGCAUACCAUGAGGGAUAUGUAGUGCAACCAACCCGAGAAGUGUUCAAGGUUGAAUCACAGGGCAAACCCUAGCUUCCGAUCAGGUAGGCAAUCUUUCUCAUCUCUCACCUUUUUGUCCGAUCAAGUAGGCGAUCUCUCUCAUCUCUCUCCUCUUUCGAUUUUCAGAGUUCGUCGUAGCUUUUCACAUUUCAGACUUUCCGGCCACCUUACCUAUAUUUUUUUUCUGAAAUUUCAGGGAUGGACAAGUACACUGGUCAUCAACUUGUUUCUGAGUCGAGCAUUGACCAAAUCCACACCACAUUCGAGAAAUCCACAGGGUGUCGUGUCUAGAUUCACGUGUUUAACGACUUGGGACUUGAAAAAGGUAACAAGGAGGAGCAAAUUCUGAGUGUGCUUACCGGUACCAACUAUAUCAUCGAGCUACUUGAGGAGAUCGAGGAGAAGAGUCGCACCCGGCCCGUUAUCGUGUGGCUAGCUCUUCGGUGCUGAUUCUCGUUAAAGAGGUGCUCUCGGAGAACCUCACCGCCUACCGAGCAAGCCUUGGUGGUCGUUUGGCUCAUCAAAGACGAAUUCUAAUCUGUGACCUUCGUCCGGCGAAUAUCAAGGUCUCAUCGGAGGCGGAAAUGUUUCGUGUGAAGAUAUGAGAUUUUGCUGAGGCUAAAUACGUUCCGGUCAUGUCGAUACAAUAAUAAACCAUGAAUGAGGUACUUUGAAGUUAAUUGGCAGACCUAAAAGAUCUCAAUUUGAUUUGUUUUUCUUAAAGAGUUGUUUUUUAAAAAAAAAUAGUUCAAAAACUCGCAUGUCGAGUAUUUUGAGAUAUUCUUUUUAUAGUCUCCCUAAUAACCAGUAAUAAACCAUGGAUGAAUUUUGUUAUGAAGUUGGCAGACCUAAAAUAUCUCUAUUUUGCCUUUCAACCAUAUGUUUUAGUCCAUGUCUUUCAAGUUUUUUUAUGAACAUUUCUUUCGCAAUUAUAGUGAUCUUAUUACAUCCAACUUUCAAUAUAUAAUUGAAACUAAGACAAAUUUCUACGCUAACUUUUCUAAUGUUGUGAUGUAUAAGAUUUGUAGCCGAGACACAUAUGAACCAGGAGUCAUCAAGAAGUCACCUUCAGCUCACAGUGCGCAUAUGUGGUAUCAGUGAGGUUUGUUUUUAACUGUAGUGAAGAUCAAGUUUCUCUGUUUUCAUGUAUGCUCUUGUUUAGUUGUUUGCCUUAUGGUUGUGAUGUUAUACUUUUCAAACCUUGUUAAUCUUACAGGAAGUGAGUGAUCAGAUGAAAUUGGAGACCGUAUGGAAGAAAGUAGGCUUUGUAUCUACAUAACUUGGUUAUUAUUUUUCUAAUGUGUUGAGACUGUGAUCUCACUAUUUUUCUAGUAAUAACCAUGCUAUAUAUCAAAAAUAAUGGGUCACCUUUGAUAGGUAAUCUGAAUAUCUUGAAGACAUCUUCAAUUGUGAUGGACCUCUCCUUUUAGCCGAACACAAAGGCUUCACAUCCUAAUGUCGGAAAAGAAGCAUAAUAUCCAAUUUUGAUUUGCCAAUGGGCUUCUCUUCAUAAAACGACCUAAUCAUCGACCAGAAGACCGUAGUCUUCAACAACGCCCAAGCCUCUGUUGGAAUCAGUUCUUCAUAAAAAAAAUAGUUUAAAAACUCGCAUGUUAAUUUUAAUAAUAUUUCAAAAACUCGCACGUCGAGUUUUUUGUUAUCGUCUCACUAAUAACCAGUAAUAAACAAUAGAUGAAAGUGGCUAUGAAGUUGGCAUACCUAAAAGAUCUCAAUCUGAUUUGUUUUUCUUAAAAUGUUGUCUAUUUUAAUAAAUAGUUCAAAAACUCGCAUGUCGAGUGUUUUGAGGCAUUCUUUUUAUCGUCUCCCUAAUAACCAGUAAUAAACCAUGGAUGAAUUUGGUUAUGAAGUUGACAGACCUAAAAGAUCUCUAUAUGAUUUGUUUUUCUUAAAGACUUGUCGAUUUUCAAAAUAGUUUAAAAACUUGCACGUCGAUUUUAAUAAUAGUUCAAAAACUCGCACGUCGAGUUUUUUGUUAUCGUCUCACUAAUAACUAGUAAUAAACAAUGGAUGAAAGUGGCUAUGAAGUUGACAGACCUAAAAGAUCUCAAUCUGAUUUGUUUUUCUUAAAGACUUGUCGAUUUUCAAAAUAGUUCAAAAACUCGCAUGUCGAUUUUAAUAAUAGUUCAAAAACUCGAAUGUUAAAGUUUUUGUUAUCAUCUCACUAAUAUCCAGUAAUAAAUCAUGGAUGAAAGUGGCUAUGAAGUUGAUAGACUUUAAAGAUCUUAAUCUGAUUUGUUUUUCUUAAAGACUUGUCGAUUUUCAAAAUAGUUCAAAAACUCGCACGUCGAUUUUAAUAAUAGUUCAAAAACUCGAAUGUCAAAGUUUUUUUAUCGUCUCACUAAUAUCUAGUAAUAAAUCAUGGAUGAAAAUGGCUAUGAAGUUGACAGACCUUAAAGAUCUCAAUCUGAUUUGUUUUUCUUAAAGACUUGUUGAUUUAAAAAAUAGUUCAAAAACUCGCAUGUCGAUUUUAAUAAUAGUUCAAAAAGAGGUUUUUUUUAUCGUCUCACUAAUAACCAGUAACAUGCCAAACUUAACAAAAGCUCGCGGGUCGAAAUUUUUGGGGAUUAAACCCUAAAGGAUUGUUUAAAAAUCAUGUUUUACUAACUCUAAAAGACACCGCCACACCUCUUUAACCCUCUUUAACCUGCCACACAACCAAACCAUAACCCUAGCUUUCAGAAAUGAAGUGAUACACUGAUGUCAGUCUUGCGUCAAAAACCCACAUCAUUCGUGUGAGACAUGACAUUGAAGUCAAUAUAAAAGUGCAACUAUGCUCUUACCGGCAGUUCCCCCCACACAUGAGGCCCUUUUGUUUUAAUUUUAUCCAAUCUCCUGUUAAAUGCAUCUGAAACCGACUUGAAUUCUGCUGUCAUACAGUUUUGAGAUUGUGCGUCAAAACCUGCACAUCACUUCUGAUACCGUCCCUCAACGCCCCCUUCAUCUCGUCUUGAAAGCCCCCAUACAGCUCUUCAUCUCGUCCUUGAACCCCCCCAUAUCACUUUUGAUCUCGUCCUUAAACGCCCACACAUCAAUCUUCACCACCCCCACAUCAGCUUUCGUCUCCAGGGCUAGCAGAGCAUUCAGAGACGACAGAUGAUUCAUUAAUUCGGCUUCCAAACUGAGGAUUCUUGUUGUGUAACCUGAACCGUAGAGUAGCUUCACCCAUAACGCGCUCUUCUUAAUUUCCUAUCUGAGUUGUUUCCCUUGCACAGGGUUAUUUUCUAAUCGAGCUAUCAAAUCUGGAGAAACUUGAGUACCAGCACCGUUCAGCUUGCCCACCACCUCUGUCACAAGCUUCCCUGCCACUUCCAGCCGCUCAAUUCCAUUCUUCAACUUCUCACAUUUGCCACACUAAGUCUUGCAAAUCUCCAGAGCUUUGGUUAAGUCCAUCAGCAUGUUGAAAGCGGAUGCGGUGCUCUCGUAGGUCGCCACCAUUUCGGGAUGAGAUGAGUGAAGCGGAAGCUCAAUGCCGAUGCUGAAGCGAUGCCGAUCCCGAAGCGAUGUUGAUGCCGAAGGAAAAAGGAAGCGAUGGUUUUUAUAGUCUAGGGUUUCUGGCUUUUGGGCAUUUGGUUGGCUUAUGCCCAAAACCAUGAGUGUAAGUCUUAAUUCAAAGAGAAAUUCGUUUGAAUGGUAUACGAACUUUUGCUCCUUAUAAACUUUGGUAUAUCAAGUUUGAAAAAUAUCAGAUUGGUGUUUAAUGUUUCCAUUUCGACCUAAGAUUAGUAUAUACAGCCAUUCAGAUUAUUAAUUUACUCUCAGACCAAAAAAAACAAACCAAUUUACCCUUAAAUUAUCUUUUUUUUCUUAGUUUUUCUUCUUUGUUUUCAUAUUCCAAUUUUUUAAAAAUUUUUUUAAAUAUUUUUAGGAACGUAGAGAAAAAAGUCAUCGUCACUUUCUAAUAAUCAGUUCUUUAUCUCAAUCAUCCUUGAAUUGAAUGUCAAUGACAACAACAAGAACUUCGAGUGUCAACGGAAACAACAAGGAUUAAACUUCUGUAUGUUUCCCCUCUUCAAUUUUCUUCAAGUUUAUAAAGGUUAACCUAAAUCAUCAAAUUCCAAAAUCUCUUCUAAUAUUUCUUGAAUAUGAAAACAAAUUAAAAAAAACUAAGAAAAAAAAAACUUAAAGGGUAAAUUGGUCAUCUUAAUGGCUCUAUAUACCAAUCUUAGGUCGGGAUGGAAACAUGAGAUACCGUUAUUAUAUUUUCAAAACUUGAUAUACCAAAGUUUAUAAAGAGCAAAAAUUCGUAUACCAUUCGGAUGAGUUUCUCUAAUUCAAAUAAAAAGAUUAACAAAAUAACAAUCUUCGAUAUAAUAAGAUGACUCAUGUAUGUUAGUGGCAGCUUCUCCCUACAUUGAUACAACAAUUCAAAAAUUUACACUAAGCUGGUACUUUUAGGCGCUUUUAUGAUGUGGAAAUCGGAUGUUUAUCAAUCAAAUCAUAAAGCUCAUCCUCAAUUCCAAACCCAAGCAUUCUAGCCAUGUCACUAGUCUUCAAUCUAGGCUUGGGAAUGUUAUGUUGCUUCAGCCACAAGUAGAUGACAAAAACUUUCUGCAUAACAAACAAUUCUAGUGCCUCAGGAUUGAACACAACACCCAUCCUCAUAUUCAUCUGCAAAUUCAGAUUCCAAAGGUCAUGCCAUUAGCUAAAUUAACAAGCCUUUUUUGGUCUCUCAAGCUGACAUUAUAUUUGUUAUUACCUGAUGUGGCACCAACAUGGCAGCAUAACGAGCUAGCUCUCCGGCUCGCCAGUCCAAGAGCACAGGCAACCAAGGAUAAGCAGCAUCAAGUCUCACAAACCAUAGUCUUAUAUCAGGAAACUCGGAUAGCUCUCGAGGAUCUCGAGGAUCUUCUCUUGUGUAGUUAAUGGUAAAACCAAUUGUACGCUCAAGGUACUCUUUCGGCUUGGCUACACAACACAAGUGGCAGGACAAAAUUUUCAUGUAAAAAUUCUACAUACAGAAGUGUGAGUUUCAGUUCAAUUUGUACAUUAUAUGUUGCUUAAGUACCUGAUGAAGGAUUGGUAAUGCCAGUUGCAGUAUGAAAUGGAGUUAAGUCGAGACGACGAAUUACGUCAUUGUCAAUAACAAUCUCGAAUCUGCCUUCACUUGGUGGCAUUGGAGGCUCAACCUUAGAUGUGUCUGUCAAAUAUGCACCACAAAAGCAACUUAGAGCUUGGAUAAAGGGAUGAACAAAAAAGCACCACAUGACUUAAAAAUUUACCAAUAACAGUUAGCUUUUGAAGAAAAACAAGGGCUUUGUUAGUUGUUACCUUCAUCAUCAUCAUAGAGAGAUAUGUCAAAAUUCCCAGAAGGGUUGAAGGCAACUGAGACAGCUACUUGGCCUUGCUGCCUAUACAAGUGUGAAAUAGGCAAAGAGGCCAUGGAGUCUGAGAUGGGUCUGGAGGGAGUGUUCCAUGGAUUCUGCCUUGAGCUUGAAGAAGAACAAAUCGGAAGCAGUGUUUGGAAGACUGCAGCCAUUGCUUAAGUUGUGUGAGCUAUGAACUGGAUAUAGUCUGUGACAGUUGAUGCAUGCAUUGUAGCCUUGUGUUUUCUGAAUGUUCAUAUCCCUUUAUGGGAUUUGUAUAUUCCAGAGUCCAGACGUCUCCUUCUAUACCAUACAACUCAUUCAUUAUCCUUUUGCUCCUUAUUCUUUAACUUGGGUUGGCCACAUGCCAUUUCAUGAAUUCAGUGUCCACACCUGCCUUGAAUUUAGGCCCAACAUUAGUUGCUUAAUGUUAUUCAAGUUUAAAAUGUUUGAUAAACCGUCCCAAGUUUCAUUCCAAAUGCCGAGAUUGUUUUUGUUUGUAACGGUAAUUCUUCGUGUUUACCAACAGGAAGGUGGAGCGUGAAGGCAGCGGCCAACCCCAUUUCCAAAAUGAUGAGUUCAUUCUUCAUUUCUUCAUAUGGAAUGAGGCACUGAUAACAUAUCAAAUUAAAUCAGUUGACGUUACUGUCAUUAUAAUUUUCAUUGAGCUAAUGAUAUGAUUUAAGAAAAAAAUUGUAGGUAUUCGAUUUCGUGUUAUGACUUCUGACCGUUGUGAAUAAGAAGAUUUGAGUUGUUUAAUCGUGUGGAUUCGUCCUCAAGAUUUUUGGCUGUCAAUAUUCGGUUGCUGCCACAUGGAAGAUUGAAGUUAGUAGCCAAAGCAUUCUCUAUUAUUAUAUAUGGAAUAAAAUGUGAAGUGACACCAUUUAAAGGACGUGUUGCGAUAAUACCUCACACCACAUUCCUAAAUAUCAUGUUACCAAAUGACCAAAAACUCCACUCAGUUAUCUUUCAAUUUGUUUUGUUAAAUGACUUAAAUCAAAGAUAUAUGAUAAUUAAGGAUUGAUAUCAAGUGUUUUAAAGAAAGGACGUUUCACCCAAUUUAGCUCUUCAAGUCUUCACAAAACACCUCUUUUCAAAAAAUCUCAUGAUACAAGUAACAAUUAAUUUGCAAUGACUCGAAUGUGAUAUUCAAUGCAUUAAUUAUGUGUAUUGAAUUUCAUCUUAACGAAUAAAUAGAAAUGAAAUAUCUAACGGGUCAUAUCAGAAGUUUUAAGUAAUAAGAUUAUUUGUCAUUCAUCCAACUCCAUCACUAUUGUAGACGCAAUUCUCAUAUGCCAUAUUUCAUGUGAUGGUAAUCGUUUGAUGCAACAAUCCACAUGCCAUACCAAACGGCUACACAUAAAUAUAGACAAAAUAGGCUAUACAUACGGUCCUAAAAAUGAACAAGUUCAUCAUGUACUGGUGUAGUAUGAAUGGUCAUGUAAAGAACCCUACAAAAGACCAUUUGGUGACCACAAGGGCAGAUCCAGCCUCUUGUGGGUGGGGCUCAAGCCCAACCAAAGAAAUUAGGGGAAAAAAAAAAAAAACUAGGUAUAGAUAUACUUUUUUAGGUGAUAUAUCAUAUAUGCCCAGCCACCAAGUGACCAACCCAACCCACCCAACUAUCCAACAUAUUACCCAACAACCCAAGUCCAUAAAUCCACAAUCAUCACUCAUCCACCAAGUCAACUUCCUUCACCGAAUGAGUCCUUCAACUUAAACACUAAUAGUCUAAAACACGUAUGACCUCACCUGCUGUUCCCCUCCGCCUCCAGCCCUCCACUCACCUAUCCGGCUAUCCCUCUUCCCCUCCGCGGCUCCGCCUCCACUCCUCCACGGCUCCACCAUAAUCUCCUUCUUCCCGGCCUCCUCCGAUCCUCCUUGAUAGUGACGACUCGCCUCCGGUCCUCCGCCUCCACUCACCCACAGAAAUUAGGCAUAAUCUCCUUCUUAUAUAGAAUAUGAAAUUGUAAGUUCUGGUUGAGCUCCUACACUUUGCAUGGUUGUACUGGAAAAAAAAUUUUGCCUUCGACCAAAGUUCAAGCCCACCCCAUAUUUAAAUCCUUAAUCCGCCAUUAACCACAAUUCGUUGCUUUCAUUUUGGCUUUUGUUUUACCAUGUAAAUCAAAUAUCUUGCUACAUUAACGUACAAGACUUUAGUACUCGUAAUCAAGUAGAAGGUCAAGUUAAUAGUCACGCGUUUCAAAUUUCUUCUUCACUAAGAUAGUCUAGAUGUAGCUUCAAACCAAUCAUGAUUUCAACUAAUGGUGACCAAUAUAUCUUAAUUAGCACUACUACUCAAUUAAUAUAAUUUCUCAUCCACCACAAAUAUAAUCAUGUAUUUCCCAACAAACUAUCUAUAAAUAUACGGCAAGAAUGGUGAAAGACCAAACGGUAUUUGUAUGCAAAUAUAUAAUCAGGUAAUCUAAAAUAUACAUUUUUCCUAAAAUUUUAUAUGAAACAUCUAUAAUCUUCAUUCUUUUUGUCAUAUAUCACAUUUCCAUCAAAGUACCACAACUCUUCAAAAAAGGUAUGGCCGAUACUAACGUAAGUUUGGUAGAUCUGAGGUCUUAUUUUUUAAAAUUAUGAGAUUUCUCGUAAGUAGUAUUACAGACCGAUCAAAGUAUAACCUCGAAUGUAAAUGCAAAACACCGUAACCGACAAAUCCGCACAUAAAUAGACAACUCAAUUCUACAACUCUAAAAAGAAAGGCAGAGUAUAAUUCAUCUCAAAAAAUCUAAAAUAAAUUCAAAUAAAAUAGAAAAAUAGUAACUUGAAAUUGAAAAACUGAAAAAUGAAUUAAGAAAAAAAAUGUCUAAAAGGGCAUUAUUGUAAGGACAGAAAUACCGACAGAGAAUAUAGAUAGCAGUCUUGACCGACUAAGUCCCUCUCUCUCUUUUUUUUUUUUUUUUUUGGUACGAAAAGUCCCUCUCUCUCUCUGCCACUCUGUUUCUCUCGCACUCGCUUAAACACAAACAGACGCUUCCCUUUCCAAAACCAAACCAACAAACGUGGCUUUCCUCAGUUUCGCUUUACCUUCUUCACAUUCCCCUCUUCCUUCUUCUACCCUUUCACUCUCUUCAACCCAGAACCCAAAAUGUCAACCUUCACCUCCAAAAAACUGCUCCUUUGUCUCACCCUCUUCCUCUUCAUCGCUCUCACUGCUGGAAACACUCACAUUUCUCACACACUUCGAGGCAAAGGUACUUUCUUGAAGAGUUUCGCUUAUGUUCUUGUUCAUAGUGUAAUUUUCUUAGUGUGUUUCGCUUAUUUGUGUGUUUUGUUUUUGAAUUUUGUUGGUUUGGUGCAGAUGGUGGUGGUGGUGUUGAGAGAGGUGUGGUGGGAUUGGACACAAGAAGGUCUCUUGUGGAUGAGAAUCUGCAGAACUCGUCUCUGAUUCUGGCGGAGGAGAGGACUCGCAGGAGGGACCCUCUUGAUGAUUUUCACAAGUACACUGGUGGUUGGAAUAUCAGCAAUGAUCAUUACUGGGCUGUGAGUUGUUGUAAUCUUUGUAUUGUUUUCAUUUCUGGGUUGUUUUCUGCUUUUGGUUUUGUCAUUUGGGUUUCACUUUGAUUAUGAAUAAUUGUGUAGAAAGAUAAAAACUUGGACUUUACAUGUGUAACUGAAUUGUUGAUUUGCUUUAGAGCUGUUGUGGAUGUGUAGGACCAAUUAUGAACUGAUGGACUUUGUUGGGUUUUGCUGAUAUUGUGUGGGGUCUUUUGUUUCUCAUAUCCUGCUUCUUUUUAUGUUUGUGAUUGAAAUAAAUGUGUUGAAUUUGUUGUUGUUUUAAUGGUGAUGGUUAAUUUGUGGUGUAGUCUGUUGCUUGGACUGCGGUUCCUUUCUUUGUUGUUGCUGGUCUGUGGUUCGUGAUCUUUGGGCUGAGCUUGACGCUUAUAUGUUUCUGUUACUGCUGUUGCCCAAGAGAGCCUUACGGUUAUUCUAGAACAGCCUAUGCGCUCUCUCUCAUAUUGCUGAUUUUCUUCACUGUCGCAGCAAUGUAAGUUCUCUCUUGCUCUCUCUCAUACUCAGGGGAGUAAUGUCUGUGUUCAUAUGAACUGAUGGUUUCUUUGAAUGCUUUAUGGUCAUUCUAGUGUUGGAUGCAUUGUGCUGUACACUGGUCAGGCAAAAUUCCACAGCAGUACAACAAAGACACUCAAUUAUGUUGUGAGUCAGGCAGAUACAACUGUUGAGAACCUCCGGAAUUUGUCAGGUUAUCUUGGUGCAGCUAAGCGGAUUGGAGUUGACUCUGUCUUUCUGCCAUCAGAUGUUCAGAGUAACAUUGACACAACUAUAACAAAACUCAACUCUGCUGCCACUAAACUCUCUAAUACAACUGAAAAGAAUUCGAAACGUAUAGACGAUGGACUUGAUAGCAUGUAAGUAAAUCCUACAAGUUAUUGUUCCGUGGACUUCGAUCACAAUGCCUUGGAUAACAUUUAUGUUUUGCUAUGUUUCACAGAAGACUGGCUCUCAUUGUCAUUGCUGCUGUUAUGCUCUGUUUGGCUUUUAUUGGAUUUUGUAAGUACUUUUCUUUUCUUUUGAUCAGAGGUAAAGAUUUUGGAGAUCGGACUAUUAGCAUCAAAUCAUUCUCUUUUCUUAAUACUUGUUGCAGUAUUCUCAGUUUUGGGGAUGCAGGCUUGUGUAUACUUGUAAGUGAAUAUCUUGAAACUUUUCUUUUUAUUUCAUCUCUUAUAUAAUGCACCUUAAACAUUUAUCAAACAAACACUUGCAAACUUUAUGCAGCUUGGUGAUUUUUGGAUGGAUUCUUGUUGCGGGCACAUUCAUUUUGUGUGGUAUAUUUCUUCUCGCCCAUAAGUAAGUAAUAAUUAUGACUACAUCUAAUAUUAGUUUACAUAUGUAUUGGAUUUUCAUGUUGCCCUUUAUUUUUAGAUGUUAAUUUCAUCCUGUUAGAUAUAACUAAAUGACUUCAUUAUGGUUUUAGAUUCUCUAUAGUCAUCAGACCUAUUAGAUAAAAUUCUGAUACAUAAAUGAUUCUGGGAGAUAAUAUUAUUCUGUUCUUCUUUUAACAUGUUCUUUUAGAGGCGAAUGUUAUAGACUCCAACUAAGUAUAUUAGUACCUUCAAGUUUAGCUGCAUAGAUGCAUCUUCAUGCAUAUGUAUCGUGUUUGAAGUUGGACAUGCAUAACUGUUGAAAUCGGAUAGGGCUUCAUUUCCUUGCACAUCUGUAAAGUGCAAACAAAUUGAAGUAUUCAAAUUAUUUGACAGUUGUUGAGUAUGAAGAGAUAUUUAUGUGUGGAAGCUGUACCUUAUAAGUUCUCUCAGAGACUGUUGUAGAUACUACCUCUCAUUUGGAUACACUGGAUAUAAAAUUUCAUCAAAGAGUUUUUAUAUAAACAUAUUAGGGGCUUAUCAAUUAUGCUUUUAGCUCACUUAAAUAUGUCUCUUUUAAAGAGAGAUAAAAAAAAAGAGGAGCAUUUCAAGUCUUUCGAGUGUGUUUGGUUGGAUAGAAAGGCUGCUCUUAGAUAUUCUGUCCACCUAGAAAACUGCACUAGAUUCAAGGAAAAUAACAAAUUUGAAGUCAUUUUUUUAAGCUGUUCCCUUCUGUACGUUCUUUAAUAACUGUAUCCAAGUUCAUUUUUGCACUAUAAUUGCGUACAGUUGGGUUGUUGACGUUGGUACUAGAAAAGGAAGUAAACCUCUUUGAACUUUGAAUGGAUGAAAUAACUUGUGGAACUCAUGACUGUUCCAUUUUCUCACCAUCUAACUUGUUUUUGUUUGUGCGUAGUGUGGUUGCAGAUGCAUGUGUUUCCAUGGAUGAAUGGGUUCAGCACCCCACUGCCCAUACUGCUUUAGAUGAUGUACUCCCUUGUGUUGACAAUGCUACUGCUCAAGAGACCUCAUCACGCACCAAGGAUGUAACCUACAAACUUUCGAGCAUGGUAGACAAGGUCAUCAACAAUAUCUCAAAUCUUAACAAUCCACCACCCCAACUUGGACCGAUAUAUUUCAAUCAGUCUGGCCCUCUAUUACCUGCUCUUUGCAACCCAUACAAUGCUGAUCUCACUGAUCGAAAGUGUGCCCUUGGUGAGGUGGAGCUGCAGAAUGCCACACAGGUACUGUUAUUGAAGUAUGCUUUAUUCAGUAUCUACAGGACUAGUAAUGUUUAUGUCAGCAUCAUAAGUAGUAACGUACUGAACUUUGUUUUGAGCAGGUGUGGAAGAGUUAUGUGUGUGAGAUUAAUACGGCAGGCAUCUGUAUAACCCCUGGACGGUUGACUCCCAUCUUUUAUGACCAAAUGGAAGCUGCAGUAAAUGUGACUUAUGGUUUGUAUCGUUAUGGUCCAUUCUUGGUUGAUCUGCAAGACUGUACGUUUGUCAGGGACACAUUCUCCAACAUAAGUAGCAGGAAUUGUCCUAGCCUUCGGAAACAUAGCAGCUGGAUCUACAUUGGGCUGGUAAUGGUAUCUGCUGCUGUCAUGUUAUCAUUGAUCUUCUGGGUAAUCUACGCAAGGGAACGAAGGCAUCGCGUGUAUACCAAGCAGUUUAUGGAAGGCACAGGGGGAUUCCAAGUGCAAGACAAGGGUGCCUAGAGAUUCCAUGUUUCAGUGAAUCUUAAGAGGUGUCUGUACAUUAUGUCAGUUAUCUAUAGGCUUGAUUGCUCGAGUAAGAGACAUGGUAGUAGUAUUGUUGAGCUAGCUUCAUCCCUUGCGGUGAUUAUUAUUAGAACUCAGUGAGAUAUAUUAGUAGUAUUUUGGAGCUAGCAUUAUCCCUCUGUGAUUAUUGUUUCUCUUAUUGCCAAUGGAAGCAGAGUUGAGAUUGAUAUGAUAUGCUUUUUACUUUUUCUAGAAUGCAAAACAGGCUAAAUGGGUAGCCCAAACCCAGAAAGAGCAUGAGCAUAUGUUUUGAGAAGAGUGUUGCAACUUUCAAGGAAGCUGUAAAUGUGUGAGAGAGGUAUGGACUAUGGAGGAUAGGUGACAUUUACUUCAUUCUCCAUUUGAAGCUGUAAUGGUGCACUGCAGGCAGAGAAAAUUCGACCUUGAGUUUUCAAAAUGAGCCGUAAUAGGAAUUUAUGGGGUCCAAUCUCCAAAGAGUUAUGAGCCGUAAUAGUCCUUCCACUCCUUGGAUAUUCAAGCCUUUCAGAGAGGUAGAUAUCUACUUGUUCUUAUUCAUACCAAAAGUGAUCAAGGACAAUCAUGCUGAACUUUUCUCACUUAAACCAUGAUUGUAUGCUUUCUUAUUCUCGUACCGAAAUGUGAUCCAUGGUUUUCAUGGUGGAUUAAUGCAUCCAACCUAGGACAGUAAUCAGAACAAUCCAAGGUGGAUUACCACACAACAUCACAUUAAUUCCAUGUUCUAGUUUUGUUCGACUGAUUUUUGCCUCUAAUGUUGGUAGGCUAUGUAAAUGAAAUGUUAACAACUCAAAUAUGGUGUCUGCCAAACUUAAUAAAAGCAAAUAAAAGAACGAAUCAUUAACUAGUUCAUGAUUUAAAGAGUAAUAUUUAUGGGGUAACGAUGUGAAAUAGCUCAUCAGGACUUCACUGAUACCGAUCCUCAUCCUCUAGUUGCUCCUUAAGCUUCUCUAUAUGGUACUGAGUAGUGAGUUGUUUGUUCCUAAGUGAUUAUUUGAUUCCAAGAGGUGAGUUUUCAGUCUAAUAUGACCGGCUUGGUUAUAUACCAUAAUUACUGAUCAUAAGGUUUGAUUUAUGUUGCAGAGGAUCCGUCAAACUAAUACCCAUUUGACGGAGGAAGAGCUUGAGGACUUAUGUACAUCCUGUGGUCUCACCAACUAUUCUAUCAAAGUGCAGCAAUCUUUCAUAUCAUGUUUUCUGCUCAGAAACCAUGAGUUAAGUUCUCAGAAACCAGAAUCGAAGACUAGGUUUGAGCCAUUUAACUACCAUUUCUCUGUACAUGGAUCAAUAUUAGAUUCUUGUUUUGUUAUGUGACCAAGAACAUAGUCUCUUGGUUGAUUUUAUCCUCUUCAUUUUGGGUUCAUAACUUCAUAUAUGCUUCUCUGGGUCAAUCUCUUAUGGGCUUUCAAUGAAGAUGUAUUGGAAGAGUGAGCAGUUGGACAAAAUCAAAGAUUAGAGGAGAGGAUCCGUAUACAAGAUAAACAUGCAUUUUCAGACGUGAGAAGUUGUCAUACAGCUUCACACAAAAGAGCUUGGCAUAGAGCUUCACACGGAAAGUGUUAUCACAAAGCUUCACACCGACGAAAUUUCAUAUGCAAACAUGGAUCCUAAAAUUUACUUCCCUAACUACUACAGAAAAAGUAAAAAAGAGCAAGGAUUUUUCACUCCUUAGACACUCAAAUUAAAGAUCUUCAACCAAAUUGUUGUUAUUGUUUAUAGUAAGACAAAUGAAUUAAAAUUGGGCCCUCAUUUCCGUUGUCAUUCAAGAACUCUAGCUCCUUGCACUACAUACUGGUGUUUAUUGUUGCGGAGACUCGUACUUAAUUACUGAGGUGGUUGUGUCUGUAUUUUUUUUUUUUUUUUUUUUAAUAGCUGAGGUUGCCAUUGCGGCUACAGUUGUUGUGGUUGUGUUUGUUGAAAACACUAAUGCUGCUUCGUACAUAUAUACACUACUUGAUCACACUCCUUUCUCAUUGCCAAAGACAGAAAGAAAGAAUCAUACACUGCCUAAUCCUUGUCAGUUUAAAAAAAAGAAAAAAGAAUCAUACACUGUAGGACCUUAGCAGCAGCUAGCUAUAGCAAUUAAUCAAUCAAACUUCAUGGUGAUGGCUCCCUCAUCUCUCAACGAAUCGGUACUGCCUUCUGAUAUUUUCCUAUCACUUGCAUUUUCUGUUACAUAUUAAUUAGUCCUAAUUUAGAGCAUUUAAAUUUUGGAAUGUUCGAAAGCAGAGCGCAGAAGUUGAGUUGUUAUCCUGCCCGGUUUGCUAUGAACCACUAACACGAGUAGGCCCUCCUGGUCUAAUCCUGUGAGUACUCAAAUCAGUAGUUAGUAGUUGAUAUAUUACCGAACAAGGCAAAGUCAUUGUGCUUAAUUGUAUAUGAUGCUUACAUAAUUUGUUUCUCUUUUUUUGCUUGGCAGGCAAGCAAUUUGCAGGUCAUCGUUCGAGUGCAAGAAAUGCUACAAGUCUUAUUCCAGUAAAAAGAACUACUUGGAUCUCACUGUUACUGCUGGAUUGAAGAAGUACGUUGAAGCGAAACCAAUUGGGACUGAGCUAUUUAGGAGUAUUAUCAUGUCAUUCAUCUAUGAAAAGGGUUAUCGUCAGUGUUUCAAACGAUAUGGCUUCCCUGGUCCUGAUGAAGAAGUAUGUUCUCUCAAUUGCUUAACUUCAUGAUCAAUAUUUUUCUUAAAAUUGCUUCAGCUCUUUAUACUUGCCUAUUACAGCCAACGUUCUUCUAUAUGUAUGUGUACACUUACUGUACAUGUAAGACUGUAAGUUACAUGAUGCUUUUUAUUUCUUGCACACAGUUUAAAAUGGCUCAGGACUACUUUAAAUCCGCUGAAGGCGGUGUUUUAGUGGAUGUUAGCUGUGGGAGUGGUUUGUUCGCGAUAAGAUUCGCCAAAUCUGGGACAUAUUCUGGAGUUGUGGCACUUGAUUUUUCUGAAAAUAUGCUUCUCCAGUGCUAUGAUUAUCUUAUGAGAGACCCUGAUACUCCUUUGGCUACGUAAGUUUGUUUGCUGCUCUCACUCCAGUUCUUACAAAAUUAGAUGUCUAUCCUAACAACUGCAAGUACAAUUUUAACAAGUGCAGUGAUCUCGUUCUUGUGAGGGCCGAUGCUUCUAGGCUUCCAUUCACAUCAUGUUCAGUUGAUGCUGUCCAUGCCGGCGCUGCAUUGCACUGCUGGCCAUCUCCUUCUAAUGCUGUAAGUGAUUUUCGCCUUCAAAGUUACUUGCGCGUUCAUAUAUGGUGCUUUUUUAUUUAGUUCUCAUACAUUUCUCAGGUUGCUGAAAUCACUCGUGUAUUACGAAGUGGUGGCAUCUUUGUUGGAACCACAUUUCUGCGGUCUAGUCCUUCCUGGAUAUUCAAGCCACUCAAUGAGGUAAUAUGCAUUCUCAUACAUUACUGGUCAGUGAUUUCAAUCUUGGCAGGAUGGAGAGCUCUUGGUGUUUAACUAUUAUGAGCUUUUUGAGAAGGAUCUGUGCAGGUGAAACUUGUAUUCAUUCAAAUUCUUAGUUGGUUUUAAGGUGUUGAUUUGUGUGACAGAGGAUUCUUCCCAGCGGGAACUAUUUUACGGAGGAAGAAAUUGAGGACUUGUGUACAUCAUGCGGUCUCACAAACUACACGAGCAAAGUUGAGCAAUCUUUCAUCAUCUUUUCUGCUAAAAAACCUUGAAGACCACUAGCUAGCAUGUUCAUUGGUGUGCCAUAACGAUGUAUAACGGUAAAAUAAAUUUGGGAAAGUUAUAUCCCAAUGUUUUAUUUUCUUGUUUUUCUUGAAUGUAAGCUAUUUAUUCCUAUUACCGAAAAGCUGUGAGGAUAUCAUAUAGAGAUAUGCCCUGUUUAAUAGGAGUGAGAACAACGCAAGGGACAUCACUCAUUCCCGUUCCAGAUCCCAUGUUUUUAAGUUAUGUUGUGAGUUGUGACUUGUGAGAAUGAAAACAUCUACUCAAAACAUUGUGUCACGAGUCUUUUAAAAAAAAACAUUGUGUCAUGGAGUCCAUAUCAAUUUCAAGAAUAACUACGCAAAUUUGGACAAAAUAUUUAACAAGAUAUCUUUUAUGCUUCAUUGAAUCUCUUGAUUUUAUUGUUAUCCAAAAGAAAAAUAAACAAAACGAUGACAAUCUACCGAUUAAUACUUUUGUUUGAAAACACGUAUAAGAAAACCAAUAAAAAAAAGAUGCACCAUCGUUCCUCUCAUCUUAACGUAGAGUUUAGUCUUGAUUUGUUCAAGAGUGCGCACAAGAGGUUCUAGUUAGCCAGGACAAUCUUUUUGCGACGCAAUAUAUUGCAAUGCUGAUAAUAUGAGGAGCAUAUUAUACUUUCGUAACUGCCACCGUCUCCAUACACUUCCAAAGUUCCGACUCGUCACUCACUCUCUCACCAAAAGCCAAAGCAAAACAACAAAACAGAACACACUUCGCAUACACUCACAAACGUAUGGAACUCCUAUUACUCUCCCCUAAUCUCAAAACCAGAAACACAAACAAGAACAAACCACAGCACAGAAUCAAAUCUUCAUGGCCACGACGGCUCCCUCCUCCCUCCACCAAACAUUUCUAUCCCCAAAACACCCUCGCCUCCACCACAAUUCCCAUCUCUCUCCUCCUCGUCUCCGCUUCCACUCUCUCCCCAUUCGCGCCACUACAAUCACUCUACAACAGGUAAUACCUUUUCUCUACUCUAAGCUCAACUUUGGUUCAUAAAGUUUGAAUCUUUAGGAACCCAUCUGGUCAAAUUUCAAUUUUGCUUCAUAAAGUUUUGACCUUUAGGAGCAGAGCUCAAGCACCCAGAAAAGUCAAAGCUCAGGCAUUGAGUUUCUGUCAUGCCCAGUUUGCUAUGAACCCCUCAUACGCAAAGGCCCAACUGGUUUGAACUUGUGAGUACUAUGCUUGCUACCCAGUUUCUGAUUAGUUGAGAUGAAAAAGGCUGAGGCUUUUUGUGUGAUGUUUAUUAGUGUUUUGGUUUUUGUGGGUUUUUGGUAGGGAAGCAAUAUACAGGUCAGGUUUCAAGUGCAGGAAAUGCGACAAGUCGUAUUCCAGCAAGGACAUUUACUUGGACCUUACUGUUACUGCUGGGUUGAAGCAGUAUGUUGAGGUCAACCCUGCUAGGACUGAGUUGUUUAGGAGCCCUCUUGUGUCGUUUUUGUAUGAGAGAGGUUGGCGCCAGAAUUUUAGUAGUAGUGGAUUUCCAGGUCCUGAUGAAGAGGUAUGUGUCAUUUGGUUACUGUGUACUAAAUGCAUAUAGUGUCUGUUAUCUAAGUUCUGUUUGUGUACACUUUACGAGUUACAUGAUGUUUUUAUGUGCUAUGCAGUUUAAAAUGGCUCAGGACUACUUUAAACCCGCGGAAGGCGGUCUUCUGGUGGAUGUGAGCUGUGGGAGUGGUUUGUUUUCAAGGAAAUUUGCAAAAUCGGGGUCUUAUUCUGGAGUUGUGGCCCUUGAUUUUUCAGAAAAUAUGCUUAGACAGUGCUAUGAUUUCCUCAAAAGAGAUGCUACUCUUUUGGCUACGUGAGUUUUGUCUGCCUUUUUUCUUCUUUACUCAUUAGUUUCUCAAUGCUAUACUGGUAUAAGAAAAGAGAGAACUGUAUUGGUCUAUUCUAACUUAGCUUGUUAUAAAUUGUUGGAAUAAGUGCAGGAAUCUUGCUCUUGUAAGGGCAGAUGUUUCGAGGCUCCCAUUUGCAUCAGGUUCAGUCGAUGCUGUCCAUGCCGGUGCAGCACUGCAUUGCUGGCCCUCUCCUUCAAAUGCUGUAAGUGUAGUUUGACUUGUUUCCUUCUAUUUUUCCUUUAAAUUACUUCCUCUUUAGGAUUUUAUGUUUACUCAGUAGGAUGAAAGAAAGUUAUGCAAUCCUCUAUUUACUUGAAAGCAAUAUGAGAUGUGAUAUGUGGAACUUUGAGAAAAACUUGGAGCCUUUUACCCUUGUUCCUCACAACAGGCUAUAGUGCACUAGGCCUCUAUCCAUGCAUAUGGUAACAUGAACUCUCAUGGAUAGUCCAUGGUCUAGGGGCCUAGUUGGUUCCUGCAGAACAUAGUGCAAUUAUAAUAGUAUAAAGUACUAUGUACAUCACAGAUAUUGGUAUAUCUUCUGGUGAAAAUAUUUGGAAUCAGUUAUCUUACGGUUUGGUGUUAGCAAGUGGGUGCAUAUAUAUCCCAUGUUUUCUGGCAGAGCUUUCUUUUGCAUCUGAACUUUAUGAUCUCUCAAAUCUCUUUAAGUUCUCAAUUUCUCUCAACUAAUCCAUUUACCGUCUUAUUUCACAUAUAUUUCCAGGUUGCUGAAAUUACUCGUGUACUACGAAGUGGCGGUGUCUUUGUUGGAACCACUUUUCUGCGGUAUACUCCAACCACUCCCUGGUAUAUCAGGCCUUUCAGAGAGGUAAUAGUUAUACAAUGAUUACCAAAUGUGGUCAGUCAUACUUGGGAGAGUCUUUGGGUGGGUUUAACAUUACAAUCAUAGACUUUUCUCAAGUUGGUUUUUAUUAAUCUUCAUGUUGGGACUUUUGCAAAUGUUCAUCUACUCUGGUUUGGUCUCAAUGUAAAACCUGGCUAUGUUGAUCUUCAAUAGGGAGUUUUCAUGGGAAGAUAUAUAUCCAACUAGGAGUUGGUUUGUCUGAGGAGUUCUUAUUUCAUGUUGGAGAUUUCACAUUUAGUAAAUAAGUAAAUAGCAGUUAUAAUUGUUGAUUGUUAUUAUAUGGUUCAGGCAUAUUAACUGUCUUCCUGACUGAAUGUUACUCACAUGCCUCUGUAUCUAUUACGAACAAUUGUGCAUAGUACUCCACAUUCAUUUCCUUAUUCUGUAUAAACUUCUCAAGAGUACAAUAAAAACUAAUCCUGGUUUUGAUAUAGCAUUGUAUGGUCACUUAAGUGUUUGCAGACUUUGGAGCAUGGGUUUUAUUAAAAAUAUGUGAAUGGCUUGGUUAUAGACCAUAAAUAUUGAUCUUAAGGUGUUAUUUUUGUAGCAGAGGAUUGCUCAGGGCUACAGCUACUUAACGGAGGAAGAGAUACAGGACUUGUGUACAUCAUGUGGCCUCACGAACUACUCGAGCAAAGUUCAGCAAUCCUUCAUCAUGUUUUCAGCUCAGAAACCUUGAUACUAGGUUUGAGCCAUUUGAAUAUCAUGUCUCCAUUACAUGCAUUUAUCAUAUUUCUUGUUAAUUUGUUGUAUACGAUGUAAUAUAAUUGUAUACACAUCUGAAAAGAAGAAAACAAAACCUGAAAAGGUGGAAAAUCUGGGUAGAUGUAAAGUAUUAUUAUGAAACAUGAAUAAGAAGCACUUCGUUAAUGAUAGUACCCCAGUGCUUAACAUUAUCAUGAAUUCUGUUAGUGGUUACUGGUUAGUGAUGACAGAUGAAUGGGUGAUUUUAAUCUGAAUUAAGCUGAGUUGAUUAUGGCAUAAAGACAGAUGCUCAGAGUCGAUAAACAACUAAAUUCAUAAACCUGUACUCUACCAGUUGGCGACUGAAAAUCUUGGAGUGUAAUGUAUUGAUAAAAGGGACUCAUACACAUAGUUUAACCAUAGCUGCAAUUACCCAGGCUACCAAACAAGAACAAUAAAAAAUGCAUGAAUAAGAAGAGGAAGAAAAGGACCAGUUCAAGCCACAUUUCCUUGAGCCUUUGUUUAAACUUUAUAGUCCAUAUUUUAGGACAAGAUUUCAGCUAAAAGUUUAAAUUUUUCUAAGCACGGUGAGAAGAAUUCUUUUUUACUUGUGUGGAACUAGAUUACUAGAACUAGUGUACACAUAUCAUGAUGCAGGUGUAGCCUUGUCCAGUCUUUAAUCUUUGGAAAAAGGCUCUGCAUGUGGCUUAACCCUUAAAACUAAGGGUUUGCAUAUAUAAUAGGCAUUAAAGAAACCCUUUUUGAUAUAGCAGAAUGGAGUGAGCCUCAGACUACACAGAGGCCUUAGCAGAGGGGCAGGGAGAUCCCCUCGUGCGGCUCAUCCGCUGACUCUGCAAACCCUAUUUGUUCUUCUAACCAUAUUCACAUCCACAUCACCUCUUUCUCUCUGGAUCUUUGACCAUUGACCACCACCUACAACUUUGAAGUGUUUGUAUGAGUAAAGAAGAAUAAUUUGGGUCAGUUCCAACACGCUUGAGCUUUUGAACACUGCAAGUUUGCUUGGGUUUCUAUUUGAAACCCAGUCUUUGGAUCCCUUGCACGUGAGCUUCUUGCUUACUAUAAUACCAUUCUGCUUUUCAUGGCACGUGAGGGUUGCCCAUCCUCCUCUUCUUUGAUUCUGUUUUUCUUUCCUCUCUUCAAUUUGGUUAUAGCUAAAGAUAGAUAUUUGUUAGUGUGUUUUAUUUAGUGUACCCAUGUUAUAUGAAUUUCAUUGGUCAUAUUGGUGCUGAAGAUCAUAACCUGUUCUUUGCAGCACUGUGAUCAAAGAGUUGUCUUUUUUCUUUUUUCUGUAUUACUGAUAAAUAUAAAAGUUCUGAUCUCGUUUCAAAUAAAUAGAGUUUAUGUACUGUAGGAUCUGUGGUAGCUUUGUGUUUUUGUUUGUCUUUCUCAUUCUAUGGAAAAAAUAGAUUGUCCAAUUGUAAUGAACAUUAUUCUAUGAGACUAGUCUCCGGGUUUUCUCAUGACAGUAGAAUUCAGAAGAGAGAAACAAAGAAACCAGCAAGGGAAAAAACAAACCUCCUCAAAAGAAUUUUAAGAAGGGUCAAAAAUUACAUGCUUCAGUUUGACUCGAGGUGAAAAUAGGUAAUAGCUUAUGCACUUGGCUGCCUAGAGUCUGUAAUAUAAGUUAAUGUCUGAACAAAGUUGUUUAGAGCUUGUCUUACGCUAAAUCCUCUUAUGCUUCAUAGCUCGACAUGUAGGGGUUGAACUUUACAGAGAAGAUGAACUACUUAGAAGUGCUUUGCAGCAUCAAUUGAUGAUUGACAACUGUUGACUAAUAUGGUAAAAAAAGAUUGUCAGCUUGUAAAAACUCGAAAUUGAAUGGUAGAGCUGAAGGGUAUAAAAGGGAAAAUACAAGAUUAAAAAUACUGUUAGCAUUGUAAACCCCAAGAUAACUCUUGGAUGAAGCUCAGAGGCGCAUUAAGCAUGGUCUUCCUCAAAAUUAGCAAUGGAGCCUCUGAUUAAUUAGGUCAUUAGUAUGGGAAACUAGUGCUCAAUGAGUUGUGCUUGUCUGUGAAAUGUUUGUUACAAAACCACAUUAUUAUUAAAGCAGAGAGGACUUGAGAUUAGUGGAGUUGUUGAUUGAUUAAUGUUGACAUGUUUCAUUCCCUAAAAACCGGGUUUUUUCUCGUACAUGUCUUGUUUUGGCUCUAUCAGAUAUGACACUAAAGACAGUGUUCUUACCCAACACUAUAGUUCCCUCACUUGCUUUUGUCUGUUGAAGUCAUAAGAGUUACAGUAGUAAUAUUCCUAAGCACAAUGUUCUUCAACCUUCUUACCACCUGAGUCGCAAGCCUCACAGUUCAGGUAUCAAACAAAACCAAUGAGUGGUGACAGCUGCAUAAUUUUUUGACAUACUGAUAUUCUCUAAAACCGAAAUUUUGAUCCUUCAAUCAUGAAUACGGUAAAACCAUACAUGUUGUUAGGUGUACUUUUUGCCUUUUACCUUGUGUGUAACACUGCAGCUCUGUACCCUUUUGUUCUCUAUCAAGCUUUACUUUGCUGUAGGCUCUGAUUGCUUAGGUUUGAAGUCAUGAAAGCUACAUAGAUGACAUCAAAAGCAGCAGGCAAGAAUAAGGGAUGCACAUAAAUACACCAACACAGUAUAGUAGGUUUUUUAACUAACCUGGCCGACUUAUUGGGAUGAGAAACUCAAGCUUUUUGGAUCACACUCAAGGUUUUGGAAUUGCCAGAAGUCUAGUGUUAAAGUUCACUUUCAGUGACUACUGGGUGGAAUGCAAAAUUUUCAGCUAUCAAGAUGGUAACACAGAAAUAUCAAGCCGAUCAUCUAUUUCAAUUUCUUUUUCUUUUUCGGUUUCCCAUUUCAAAGUGAUCUGUAACAAGUGGCUAGUUCCAACUGAUUUCACCAAUUCUAAGAGAUGAGAAUCAAUGAAAGAAAAGGUGAAAAAUAAAAAUGGUGAGUCACAGAGGCACCUCCUUCAAGAAGAACUUGGUUAGUUUAGCAUUAGAGCUCUACAGCCAAGGAGAUGAGCAGCAUUAGUUUAUACAGGUUUUAGAGAAAUGGGAGACACGGAAACAGCGCCCACGUUCCCCUCAUAUCUUACUUCCUUUUCUUUUAUAUAUAUACAUAUACAUAUAUAUAUAUAUAUGUAUGUAUCUCUAUCUCUCUCUCUCUCAUGUUACAAGCCCCCCUAUUGACAAAAUGAGUGUACCUCUCCCAAGGAAUAAAUAUAUAAACCCUUCCUCUGUUGUGAAGCUCCAUAAAUACUCUUAUCACCAUAUCCCUCAGUCCCUCUCUUUCUCUUUUCCCUUCUCACACCAUUGUCUUGAUAACAGCUCAAGCAGGGCACUUGCUUUGAAGUGUUUAUGUGAUCAUGGUUUGUCUCUGUCCCUCUCGGUCUUCUCUAUUCCAUAAUUCUCAUUGUCUUUGUGGAUCAUAUAUAUAAUUGUUUGGUAAUUCUGGUUCUGAUUGAAUUGGUGCAUGUAAUUCAGGGAAUUCAGAAGCCUGCAUGGUUGGAAGCCCUCUACACUCAGAAGUUCUUUGCAGCUUGCUCCUUUCAUGAAACUGCAAAGAAGAACGAAAAGAACGUUUACUGUUUGGAUUGCUGCACCAGUAUAUGCCCCCAUUGUCUACCUUCACACCGUUGCCAUAGGCUUCUUCAAAUUCGUCGCUAUGUUUACCACGAUGUUGUAAGAUUGGAAGACCUUCAAAAGCUCGUCGACUGCAAUAAUGUUCAGGUUUGUUACAUGACUGUUGCUAUUCAAAUUCCAAUUCCAAUUCAGUAUAGUUAAGUGGCAAUUCAGUUAGCUGAUGUAGUGUCUCUUUGUUUUUCAGUCAUAUACCAUAAAUAAUGCCAAAGUUGUGUUCAUCAAGAAGAGACCUCAGAAUAGGCAAUUCAAGGGUUCCGGAAACUAUUGUACUUCUUGUGACAGAAGUCUUCAAGAACCUUAUAUCCAUUGCUCACUUGGGUGCAAGGUAAACAUCUAGACAUGCAUGCGUAAAACACUUGAAUUUUGCCAUAUGUACAACUAUGAAAAAGACUUUAAUUGUGAUUGAAUUUGACUUAUUAUAAAUAAUUUCAGGUGGAUUAUGUGGUUACACUGAAGAGGGGGCUCUCUCCGUACCUGAAGAAAUGUGAAACACUCCAACUGAGUCCAGACUUCUUAGUUCCACUCCAGUCCGAGUCUGAUGAUCAGGACAUGACCAGUGAUCAAACUCUCCAUUCGACAAUUGUGGACUGCGACGAUCCAAUGAGCUAUUCGUCAUCAUCAGGCUCCGAAAACAUGAGCAUGAGCAUGAGCAUGGCAUACACAAAUCGUGAUCAGAUUGUCCGAAAGAAGAGAAGCGGGCUCAAUUACAGUUACGUGUACUGCUCAAGAUCAGCUCACAAAGUUUCAGAUGAUGAUCAAGACAUGUCCUCUAACAUGAUCAGUAGAAGAAAAAGCAUUCCUCAUAGAUCUCCUCUGUGUUAGAGGCUAGCUGUUAGCAUAAACAACAGAUUACUCAAACUUGGUAUUCAAUUUGCCACUACAAUUCUCUCCCAUUUCAUUUUAACUGAAAUUCAAAUGCUUUACUUAAAUUAAUUGAUUAUUCAUCUCGAAAACGAAGUUUAAUUUAGUUGAUUAAUCACUUGGUCGGGGUGUUUUGUCUUAAUGCGUUCACGUGGUUCCCAGUUCCAAGUUAUUGUUCUUGUACAAUUUUAUAACUCGUUUGAUUCGUACUGUAUCUGAGAUUUUAAAUCACCGUGAUCAUGAAUUUGAUGAGGCUCUUCUUGUGAUCAUAUGCUCUACACUCUUACCUACACUACUCGUUGGUUUGCUCUACACUCUUAACUUCUGCACUAUUAUAUGCAUUUCAACAAUGUUAUACAAUUGAAUGUGGUACAAUCUGUUCCUGAAUCACUGUAGAUUAUCAUUUUGAAAUGUAUGCAAGACUAGGGAACCCUAAUGACCAAUGGAACUUGCUGGACUUUGACUGCAAUUAUAGUUAAAACAAUCUGUGAAAAGGGAGUUUGAUUCAUUUGGACCAGUCAAACACUAGGCACCAGGAUUGUUAACUCAGUUCAACUCUCCUGUACAUUAAAAAACCCAGUUCAAGUUUAUUGUUGUUUGGUUUUGUGAAGAUCGACUUCCUUCCACCAUCCACAAGCUUUACACGACUAUUAACCUCUGGGAAAAGUUCGAAUAAAAGUAGUCUCGACAUAUGUUAUUGAAAAUGUAAUUUUGAUCGAAAACCACGAAUUUGGACAAUUUUUUCAUUUUGGGAAAAAACCUUCUGGAUUUGUUUCUCACGUAGUUAGAAAAGGAUGCAUGUACAUCUUGGAGGCACCAUUCGCUUGCAUAGGUUUGGUCAUUCCCACCAUUUAGCCUCACUUGUCAUGUCGAGGCUAGUCUUGCUUGAAUCAGCUUAGCGUGUACAACAUAACCUCGAUCACUCCAUAAAGAGACAUGACCAUGAGAAUUGCUAACCUCUCUUCCAUAAGCAAUUAAGCAUAGCCAUGGGAAUCAGAUUCUUAUCGCAAGCAAGCAUUCACACUUGCAAGCAACCAACAUAUAGAACCCGAUAGUGCCAAUCAAUUUGGUUGGCAUGCCAUAAUUCGAUAUCAAACUUUUUCUAUAUUUUAGCCAACAACAUAUCCAUACGAAAUCACACUCAGAUUUUUCUUUAAAUAUUGUCCUUAAUCGCCUUUUAAAUUAAACGAUUCAUUCCCUACAUAUAUAUAAACGUUAUGAAUCAGAUUAUUAUUUCCAAAAUCAAGAAAUGAGAUCUAGCUUGAAAGUGAUUGACAAAAAUAGACGCGCGGACAGCUAGAACAUAUGUAAUGAGAUUCAUACAUUAUGAAAACCAAGUCAUUCUCCUCUGUGAUUCCUUAAAUAUCGAACCCGAUAGUAUCUUAGGGCUUUUAUAGCAAACUAUCUGUUUCUCCGCAACUUUGUAUGCGUUAGUUGAAAAUCUGUGUUAUAAAUAACAUCUUGUCUCGCACCAUGGUUUUGGGUCCUUGUGUCUCCACCAAAGUUCUCCCGUCAAAAAGCCAGAAGAACUACAAGGACGAGUAUAGGGGAAGCCCAGAAAUCCAAAACCCACCAUGAUGUUCUUCGGCAUUAGAUCAAUAAUGCCGUCGAAACAUUUGGUCUUUUUUGUGAUCCUAGCCAUCUCCUCCUUCGUCUUUGUUGUUUCAGCUUCUGCAGACGAAACCGGCCAUCAACUUUCUCACACAGGUAAAAUGGGCUAGGGUUUCGUUUUGUUUUUGCAUGCAUGUCAUCAUCACUUGUUGUGUUAGACAUGAUUUGUCCUUUUUUACAACAUGAAAUGUUAAUUUGAUACGAAUUUUUGCAUUGCUAGCUCUUGUAAAGUUUGAAUCAUUUUUUUUUUGUUAAUGGUGAAGAGGGAGAAGAAUUAAACGAUGGUGGGAUAAUCACAUGGGGAAGGAGGAGGUCUCUUGAAGAAGGAGACGGAGAUGGCGGCGACGACGGAGAUCAAGGAGAUGAAGAAGUUUUAUUGUUGGCUAAGAAAAGGACACAGAGAAGAGACCCUCUAGAUCACUGGAAGAAGUACAAUGGGGGAUGGAAUAUAACCAACGAGCAUUAUUUGACUGUGAGUUCUGUAUUCUCUUAAUUAUUUUGAUUCAUUUUCUUGUUUUGUCUUUGUUAUUUUGGUUUCUGUUGUUCUGAUUCUGUGUAUAUAUUCUGUUGUUUUAAGAACCACCAAUGUAGGUUUAUGUGAAUGUUCCCAAUUGUUCUUCUGGUCCUUUCCUCAAAAUGUAGGUUUAUGUGAAAGCUUUAUUUAUUUUUUGUCUCUCUAUAUACAUGUAGGUUAUGUGUGUGCUGAUGAUAUAUAUACUUGUUGAACAUCUAUACAUAUAUAGUGCUAAGCCAAAUAUAUAUUAACUUCUGUUGUUGGGUUUAGCUGAAUAUAUAUGGUUGAAUAUGUUUCUCAUGAAAUUGAUAUAUUUUUCAUACACUAGCUAAUUGGUUAUUGAUCGAACUUUGCUGUAGUCAGUUGCUUUUACCGCGGUUCCUUUCUUCAUUUUUGCUCUUGUGUGGUUCGUGAUCUUCGGGAUAGCUUUGUGCGUCAUCUGUAUCUGUUACUGCUGUCGUAAAAAACCGCCUUAUGGCUAUUCUAGAAUAGCCUACUGCGUCUCUCUUGUCACCCUCAUUGUCUUCACCCUCAUGGCAAUGUAACUCUCUAACUCUCUUUGUUUACACACACACACACACACACCUGAUUUUCAUGCCAAUUAGUAUUAGUACCGAAAUACCGAUCGGUUUGAUGUUGGCUUGGAUUUAAUGUUCAUAUGGUUAAUUUGUUGUAGUGCUGGAUGCAUUGUGCUGUACACGGGUCAGGGAAAGUUCUACAACAGUACAAGAAAGACAUUGGAUUACAUUGCGAAUGAGGCAGAUGUAACUGCCGAAAACCUCAGGAAUGUAUCAGAUUUUCUCGACUCAUCGAAGAAGAUUGGACUUGACGCCAUAGUUCUUCCGCAAGAUAUGCAGCGCAAAAUUGACGAGGGUACGGGGAAAGUAAAGAAAGUUGCCGAUGUUAUCUCUGAAAAAACUGAUUCGACUGCAAAGAAGUCAAGACAAGUCUUGCAUAACCUGUAACUACAUUCUCUUGAAACUAAUUCUGAACUUCCACUCGAUCACCUUGAUUAAUCUGUAUAACAUGUAUCUGUCACUAUCUUCUACAGGAAGUUGGCGCUCCUGAUUUUCGCUACUGUUAUGCUCCUUCUAGUCUUUAUUGGAUUUGGUAAGUCUGUUAUAUUCUUUUGAUUAGAUGCAAAAAGUUUUAAAGGUAUAAUUAGGCCUUAAUGAUUGCUUCUGUGUUUAUUUGGUUUACUUGUUGCAGUACUUUCCAUGUGCGGUAAGCGAUUUCUUGUAUACUGGUAAGUCAGAUACCUAUAAAACUGUUUGGCAAUCAUUUUUCCAAAGCAGAUCAAGUCAAUGAAGCAGUUAACUACUCUGAACAUCGUUUUAACAAGCAGUUUGCAAUUUGAUGCAGCUUGGUGAUUGUUGGGUGGAUUCUUGUUACUUGUACAUUCAUCUUGUGUGGUGCAUUUCUCCUCAUCCAUAAGUAUGUACCACUUAACUGGUCGACCUCUCUAUAUUAAUUUAAGUUUCACUUUAGCCUGCAGUGCAACAUAUAGAUGUUAAUUUCAGCUCCAUUCUAUCCUAAAUGUGUUUGGAUUUGAAUGCGGAUUCUAGCAAAUCUGUAAUAUUCCAGCUGAUACAUGAAAUUGAUUGAUAUCCUCGGAGUAAUGUAUUCUUGUAAGGAAGCUGUGUCCAUAUCAGAGACUGAUAUUUUUCUAUGUGCACAUAUGCAGUGUGUUUGCAGAUGCAUGUGUCUCCAUGGAUGAGUGGGUUCAAAAGAAACCAACUGCUUAUACUGCUUUGGAUGACUUCCUUCCAUGUGUGGAUCAAGAUGUAGUCCAAGGCAUGUUGAAUGACACAAAGAUGGCAAACUACGCUGCUAUUGGAGUGGUUAAUCAAAUCGUCGAUAUGGCAAAUAGUGAUCCUAAUUCUGGUGAUGGCGGUACUCCAUUGAGUUUCAAUCAAUCUGGUCCUUUAUUACCACCAGUCUGCAACCCCUACAACGAAGAUCAAUCUAAUCGGACUUGUGCUCCAGGGGAAGUGGAAAUGCAAAAAGUAACCGAGGUAAUAACUAACAAGUCCUCCUCGCUAGCGUUUAGGAUUUUAACAAUUUAUGAGUCUAUGCUGUGUUACACUCUAUGAAGUAGCAUUAUAAGAAAGCAAGUGAUAUAUGCAGGAAUGGGGGAAAUACGUGUGUCAGGUUGGUGAUUCUGGCCAGUGUGAAUCAACAGGACGGCUGACUCCUACUUAUUUCGACCAAGUGACAGCGUUUGUAAAUGUGAGCUACGGACUGUAUCGGUACGGUCCAUACUUUGCUGAUUUUGCAGACUGCACAAUUGUGAAGAAAACAUUCACGGACAUGUUUACAGACCAUUGUCCCGGUCUGGUACUACAUAGUAAAUGGAUCUACAUUGGCUUGUUGAUGGUGGCCUUAGCUAAAAUGUUGUCUAUGAUCUUCUGGGUGAUCUACUGCCGGGAGCGACGACAUCGCGUGUAUACUAAGACGGUAGACACUAUAAGCAAUCAAAGUGCAAACUUUGGAGGUUCAAAUCUUGACAGUGCAAAUCAGGGCAGUAAAAACUUAGCAGGUGGAAACCAUGGCAGUGCAAGUCAUGGAAGUUCACACUAUGGGAGUGCAUAUAAUGGAUAGGAAACAGAUGGAUUUUGCUCGUACUCCAUGAAAAUUCUGCUAGGAGAUUUGGAUACACAAUAGAGUCAUACUGGCAUAAACCAUUUUUUGGCUCUUCAUUGGCAUGCCGAGUUUGUAACCCUAAGUAGGAAAGUUGUAAUGCUUGUCUAGAUAUACAGAAGAAAAAGAAAACCCCCAAAAUCCCCAAGUGAUCUCAAGCCAGCGGCGCGCAGAAGAAUCAUUCUCAUUUCCAUAACUGUAUUUCUCGCAGCAGAUUGAGGUCAGAGGUAUUGUUUCUACGCUUAUUAACUUCAAAUGCAAAGAAGACGAGGAAUGUAUAGAUAGACAUUGGCGGAAGACACCCUGUGAAAUAUAGUUUUUUUGCUAACUAUAGCUUCAUACAUAUGGCAUAUCUUGUUUUUUUUCCCCCAAAGAUCAAUACAAUUACUGUAUGUUGUGUAAUCUCAGCAAAGGAAAAGAAAAAUGUUGCCUACAACAAUCAAACAAAGCAAACUUACAUGUCUUAGAAUCCAAGUGAAUUAUUUUCAUUGUCCAAGUGUACUAUCUGUUGCCCCAAAUAUCACCUUCUUUGCUUGAAUCAAAUAUCAACAGGUGCAAAAUCCAAGCAAUGUUCAAUGUUCUAGCAUUCUGCAUUCAUGGUGACUGUCUUGCUUAUAGCAUUCGAGGAGAAGAAUAAUGGAUUCAGGAGGCUAAAAUAGGAGAUCUUUCAAGAAAAAGUGCAAGUUUACAAUAACCGACCUUAGCUCAGUUGGUAGAGCGGAGGACUGUAGUUGGAACAACCAUCAGAUAUCCUUAGGUCACUGGUUCGAAUCCGGUAGGUCGGAUUUUUUAUUUCCCAUUUUUUUCCUACUAAAGCCCAAAAGGAGAGAGUUCUUCAUGAACUGCCAUUUCUUUGUGCACUAAACUGAAACUUGUUCUGUAAAAACUCAAAAUGUAUAGCUAGAGUUAGCUUGCCAGCUGAAAUGGUAGAUGAAACGACAUACUGUUUAUUUGGAAAGCUUGCUGACUUCAAAAUCAAACCAAUCUUAGCCACCUGGUACAUCAAUCGAACAUGACAACUACACGUACAAGAGGCAAAAAAAAUCAUACAACCAUUGACCUAUGAUCUGUAUCAGAUUCUUAGCCUUCAAAUCCAGAUAAUAUAAAUUAUGAUCUUACGUGCUCCAAAUGUGGAAGACUUCUAGUCCAAAAGAUGAGGAGAGAAAACAAAAACUGCAGAUAAUGUUGUUUUUAGUGUCAAUCAACAUCAUAUGUGUGAAUUGAAGUUCUUCGAUCGAGUGAAUGACGAGUACUCCAUACAGUAAAUACUAAAUUUGCAGUCUCAUGUUCAUCUUAUCUGCUUACUGUGCAGCUAGCUUGGACAAUUACAGAUACUUAAGUUUAAGAAUCAAGGUAUUGAAUCAACUGUGCAAGAUAGAUACCAAAACAAUAACCUCUUCUGCUUAAACCAAUCCAAAGAGCACAUCUCAUCUUUUCCAAAUUAAGUUUUGUUUGCCUAUAAUAGGACAAUAAGAUUGAAGUUACUUACAAGUAACUUCAAUCAAUCGAUUGAAUGGUAAAUCUGAUUUUGACAUUUGAUGAGAGAAACUAUGGUCUGUUAAGCUAUUGAGGUAAUCAAUACAAAUACUAUAAAACAAUCCAGAUCAAGGCUUAUAUAAAUCACAGCUCCUAUGAGUUUGAUAUAGAAAUCAGAGAAACAAAAUCACACUCCAACAGAUAUUAUAGUUGAAACUUGAAUACCAAUACUCCAAUGGCCUCAAAAUCACAAAACACCUCCUUGAACCGUCGUACAUGUCUAUGUUCACCCUCAAAACAUCCAGGUUCUUUCAGGUGCAGUUUGCACAGAAGCAAUGUGAAUAAUAAGAGGGCUAUAGUUAGCAGUAGUAGAGCUGCAAAAGAUGUUGUAAAACCAAAUUCGAUCAAAGAAAUCCUUCUCCAAGCUAUCAGGCCGUCCUCGAGUCAGGAUCUUCAAAGAAGGAGAAAGUUCCAGCCAAAGGCUAGCAGGUUUUUCUUGAUGAGUAACAGCAGAAAUGGGAUUGCAGAUUCUCGAUCAGAAUAAUGGGAUUUCGAUAUUUAUUUAACUUUAUCAGUUUUCCUGGUUAUUAGAUCCAUAGUUUUCUGGUGUGUGCAUGUAAGAGAAGUACUGUGUAUAUAUGUAGUAUAAAGUGUACGAAAUUAGAGAUUAGUUAACUAUAUGUUAAUUUAGUCCUGUUCUUAUAUGAUCUUCAUUCUGUAUAUGCUAAUAUGGAUCAUAUUAAUGUAUUUGAGUUGCCAAAAAACAGAACUAUGGUAAGUUUUCUGGCUCAAACUUUGAGCAUAUUAUUAGUGGCUUGUUCAUCAUUAUGCCACAAAUAAUGUGUGAGACAAGCAACAAUGGAGACAAUGAAUGUGUAGAACAAGCAACAAUGGAGGCUGGAGUUGUUCUGCACCUGUCAUCAUCAUACCUUCAAAUGCCAUAUAAUCAUAAACAAUCAUGGCAAAUUUGAUCUAAUCCCAGCCUUGCACCCACAGAUAAUCAAAACAAUUAUACAAUGAUGCAUUUUAACAAUGAAACACUAUGACAUCAUUAUUUAGCAAAAGAUUUUGAAUGAUCAUGGAGACCCAGUCAGUACUAAGAUAUGAUUAAUUUAGUCUGGAAGCAAUUGUGAUGAUCAACUAGUUGUUCUGGUACACUAUCAACAACCAAUUGUUAAUAUACAGAAAAGUCCCCAAUAACAACAAACCGACCUUAGCUCAGUUGGUAGAGCGGAGGACUGUAGUUGGCACAACCAUCAGAUAUCCUUAGGUCACUGGUUCGAAUCCGGUAGGUCGGUAUUUUUAAAUUUUUUUUUUUUUCAGCUAUUUGAUUUGAUUGCUAUGUUAUUGAACCGAGAGAGCCUUUCUAACGAGGACUCUUAAGUUGAAAACUUUUCGGCUUAUCCCAUUUUUCGAUCUUAUAACUACAUUUUGACCGUUCAGUUUAUAGGUAUUUAUGAGUAGAUUAUUUCUACAAAUUUUCGGCCAUAUUGAAAAUCAAAUUAAACCCAAAUUAAAAUCAAUAAGACACACAUUGACACACACUUGGUUGGUUCGCGGUAGUUUUAGGGCAAAAGACCUAAAUUGAUAUGGGGAUCCCUUCAACAAAGGCACAAGAAUAGUAGCCAUGGACUUGGUGACUGGUCCUCUACUCAAAUGAAUUAACUAGAAGCAAAUCAGGUCAAAAUCAAACCAAUUAAGGAUUCAAACCCAAGUGCUUGUGCUUGGGAGUUUUGACCCUUGACCUGGGAAAGUUCAGAAGCAAGAACAAGAAGAAGAAGCAUCGUUUGCAGUAUUGGUUUGCAGCACACUUGACAUAAAUGUAAUGGACCAUUCAGGUCCAGCUAGCCGCGCGCUAUGUUUUGCAUGUGCGACCCCCCACCAUUUGGGAGCUAGGACUAUUUCCAUUUGUGAUCUCCAAUCAUGCAAUUCAUACUAGCUGGUUCAAACUUGGAAUAGACAGUAGCAAGGUGCAGGGAAACAUCGAUCUCUCUAUUUCGGAAUUGCUUUGCAGUGACUUCCACGAAAUCACUUAUUGACUGAUUACUAAUUAUCAUAAAUUUUUUAUAUUAAACUUGUAAUCGAGUGUGGACUAGAUCCAAUUCAACAUUAUCAAUAUUAGAUCGAUCAUCAUAUAUAUGAUGAGUAUGUUCAUACUUGACAUUCGAUGAAAUUACUUAUUAUUUCAGCUUUCUAGCUAGCAAGUUAAAUGAGAAUUGUUUUACAACACUGACUUAAAACUUCAUAAGAAAUCUUAAGUAACUGUUUGAAAAAUUCACAAGCGACCAUCUUCGAAACUCUGUCAAACGAAAGAGAUGCAUUGUUUGAUCAAUUGAUCGACAUAACUAAAUAUCUCAUGGGGUAUAAGUUAAGUUAAUGGCAAUGGUUAUCUAGUUAUCCAAGAACAAUGUUGUUAUAUGGAAUCAUAUCGUAACUUAGUUAUACGUACGCGUUUAGGAUGUCUUUGAUUUCUAGAGUGUACGUACUGCUUGGAUAUUAUAUGUAGAUGAUACUUGUCACACCAGUGACAUGAUUGACUUGGGAAGGAAGAAAAUUAUACGAUGGAAUUUUUGAAAUAAUUAAGGGUGAUGGAGAGAGACUUGGCUAGCUAAAGCUCGAAAUGGUUGACCCAGAUUAACAACUUGGCCGACUAUUCUUCUCAGUACUGGUCCUAUUUGUCAUAUAUUCCUAGUCUACUAAUUACGAGCUAAUUAAGUAUAUGUGCUUAAGAAGAAAUUAAUAAGAAGAUUCACGUCAUAUAUGGGAUCUAUUGCGGCCAAGCUUGAUGGCUAUGUUCGAUAUAUGGGAUACUUCUUGGAACCCCCCAAACUUGACAAGAGUGACCUAAGAUUGGAACCUGCGAGCUACCAGAAAUCUCUUUAGGGUUUCGGGCAGAACCGCAAGAUUGUGGAAAAGCGGGUAGAUUAGUUUGCAAGCAAAUUAAGCAACUGCUAUAUUAGGUUUAGAAUUCGAGCUUCAAUAAUAUGAUACUGAUGUAACCCUAGAUAUCAAUAAUUAUACGUAUUACAGCAUACAGAGAACCUAAACCAAUUAACCUCUAACAAGUAGUAACAUGCAAUGUUGCAAAAGCUUAAUUAGACGCAUGAAAUGUCUCUUUCUUGAUAAUUCUAGUUGAUCGUCCAUGCCACCAACAUGACUUCAUCUUUAAACGACAAAGAAACCGCUGCUACUGCUGCUGCUACUGUAAUUGUACAAUGAGAUUUCUUUUCUUUCCCGGCCUGAAAGAGAGGAGUUUGAUGAGCUGCCUACCCAACUAAUCAAGAUAUAUACUGCUAUAUAUAUUUGCUUGUUGAUUAAGUUGUUGAAGCUACAAGACGUGGAAAUUAAGUUUCUAAUUAAGCAAACCAAAACUCAAAUAAUCAAAUUAAGUUAAGCAAGUAAUUUGUCAAAGUGUUAUAUAUAACGGGUUCAGCUGUUAUACACAUUUGUAUGACAUACAUUAAGCUGUAAGCCGUCCGAUCGUUUAACAAUUCAAAAUUCAAGACAAUCGGACGGCUCAUAGCUUGAUGUAUGUUAUACACAUAUAAUAGAAAAGUCCUUAUAUAACUGGGUUGCGCAAGUGACGAUCGAAAUGAUCUCAUUCUAUCUAAUCACUGUGAGAGAGCAACACCAUCAAUAAUGUAAGAGGUGGAUCGAACCAAAUAAUUGGAAUGAGUAGUAAAUUAAGCUUGGAUCGAAGCUACCACACCACCUUUGAUAUUUCUUGUCUUAAUUUGUAUACCAAUAUUAUUCAUAAGAGAUAUGAUCGACGUAAAGAUAUAUACGUGCAACAACUUCAACUACCCCAUUUGAGAAUCCAAACAUCGACUGGGGUCUGGGGCUUUCAAUUUAAUGUACUAUAUUAUUUGCCCUACUGUCAUCGUUUUGUUUCUAUCUUUGCAUACACUAUAUCAUGGACUCCCACAUCACACAUUAUCCAAAUCAAACUUAUAUGAGUAUGUUUGUGCUUUGAUUAUAGUCAUGCAUGGUAGGUUGUGUGGGGUUGUGACAAAAGCUACUUAAUCAUGAAAAUGCAUGAUUAUUUAGUAACAUAACGAGCGAGAUUAGUAAUUGAUUGCUUGGGUAUCUUAUUCAACUUCAGCCUAAGUGCCAAGGAUAAUGCAGAGGUUCGUGAAGAAAUUAAUCAGAUUGGAAUAUACGUAUACAAUAGUGUUCACCGGGUCAAUUACUGACAAAAAGACAAAAAGAAUCAUGAUUAAUCAUCGUUAGAUUUAUAUAUAAAGACUGAAAACAAAACAACUCAACUUCAAAACAAUUCUCUUCAUAUUGGAUUUACAUCCAAAAGUAACUCUCCUGGUCAAUUACUAACCAGGUGAUCAUAUCAGGACUGUGUAAAUAUAUAUGUUCUUUGAUUAUAAAUGUGUUAGAAAAGUGACCUAAUUAAAUUAAUCGUGAAACUAUUUGAUUAUUAGGCGCAUAAAUUGUGUCGAUCAUGGUAUUUGCAUUGGGGUCUUGUUUAGCUGCAGGCCAAUGUUUCGAUCAAGAAUAAUGUACGAGUCACAGGAUUAUAUAUACUUUAAGAUAUGUGAAUAAUAUCAGCUGGAUCCUAUAUAUAUUUUCACAACCUUUCUCUGUCUUUAGUGCCAAGGAAGCUAUAUAGGAUGAUCAUCUUUUACCUCUCUUCCAUACUCAUGGGUUUAGUAUUACAAUAAGUGAAGAUAUUAGUAACAAAUUAAGACUGUCGAAGAAAGGCAAAAAGGUAAAGCAUGGAAUGAAAUGUUUCAUGUUUGGUGCUCCUAUCACCUUUGCGACCAAGAAAGCCAAUUAUUUAUGUGGUUUGGAUAAAAAGAAAAAGCUUCAUGCACCUAAAGGAAAAAGCCUACAAAAAUAGCACAGAUAUGAUGUUUCUAUAUUUGAAUGAAAGUAAAGGAAGAAGUGAUGAUAAAUAUAACAUAAAGUCAUAAACACACAUAUGCGAUUACAAGGAAAAACAAACUAUGACGAUUGAGAUGAUUAGAAGUAAGGAUGUAUGAGUUUCUUGUAUCAUUAUUAUCAGCGAUCAUUUAAAUUUUAUAAAAAAAAAUUUCCGUUCAUCUUAAAAAAGACAAUUUAUCGAACACAUUACUCUUAAUCGCCGGUUCGUAGCAAGAGACACUAACUACGUUAGGUAGUCACUACAUCCAUCACACAAUGGAAAAAGAAAUAUAAACAUAAUAGUUGGAAAAUGGCUGCGUGGAGUGUGUAAGGUUCCAGAAGUCCUAAAGCGUGCCAAAACCGUCUUUGGUAUUCUUUGUCCCCACUCCCUCCCGCCCUUUGAUUUCAAUUUUGGUGCCAAAUGCUUCCGUUUGUUGACCUCUACUGCCUCCCACCAGGACUUCGUCAAGCAUCCCCUUCUGGAUUGGGCUCUCUCUCUGGCCCACAGCCCACCUUGCUACCAAAUGACCUAGCUACGUGUCCACCGGUGUCGCGGUUUCUUAAUCCGAUUGGAUUAAUUAAGUAAAUCAGAGAUUAUUAAAGCUAAAACCAGGCUAAUGGUUUAGGUCCAAAGCUACCCGUUCUGGCCGAUCUGGUGGACGACACGUAAUUUGGAAUGCAGAAUCACACACUGCUUGUGAAGCACCACGUGUCCCCCACCUCAAUGGAAGCGCGCCACAUCCACAAAUUCCGAAUGGGUCCCCCCAGAUUGAUUCCCGGUCCUCGGAAAAUACCAAAAGCCAAUCACAUGAUCUUGGGGAUUCUCGGCAGUCGGCACCCUAGAUCUGUAACUCACAAAUUAAUAUAAUUUUUAUGUUAUUGGCUCGAGAAAAAACAUAUUUUUUGUAGAAUAAUAAUAAUCAUUUUUCUUAGUAACUGAGAAAGAGAAUUGAUUCUUUUAGGUGUUAAAUUACUAGUAAUAAUGGGGUUUUCGGUUUCAGUUUUGGAAUAAUGCGGAUGCUUAAUUACAUUAUAACUAGGACGGGUUUAGAUGUAUUAUUUGUGUGCAUGUCGGUAUUUUGGACAAUUGCAUUUGUGAUUGUGAUCCAACAAUAUAUGUGUUGGCCUAAGUUCAACUUUUUUCAAUUGGAGUUUGAAUCAUGUCAAUUGGUUUGGUCGUCCAUUCAUAAUUUAUGUGAAACUAAUGACUUAUCUCAUUCGAUAUAUGUUUUAAAUUAGUCUUAUUUUAUAAUUUUUUGUUACAUAAUUAAGAUGACAUAUAUUUAAUUUAUGUAUAAACUUAAAUAUUUCGAGUCCUCACAUACAAAGAGCACAUUAUUCUUUCUAAAGUUAAAAUCGAAGCCACAUUGCAUAGCACAUUUUCGAUGUCUUCAUCAUUGAGCUCAUAUAUAGACAAACCAAUAACUGUUUUUCGAGAAUCCAAAAACAAACAAAAAAUUACACAUAACAGCUCAUCAAAGAGUAAAUUUGGAAUUGACAAGGGCUCAAAGAAAAUAAAAAACCGGGGGCUGAAAAGUAUAUGGGCGCAGUGAAUAGAGUGUGAUACGUGGAGGUUAAGCGUGUAUAAGCAGCGUUAACGGAAAGUAUGUGCACAACGGAGACAAAAAGCCUUGACCACUCUGUCAGCCUCUCUCCCACACUAUUCUCCACCUAUUUUUUUCUGCGUGCCCUGCCCAUAGCUUCCGUUUAAAAACCGUUGGAACUCUCCGCAGUCCUCCCCUAGUUUCACCUUAACCAACCCUCUAACCGUUUGCUCUUCUUCACGGUUCAGUCCCUAUACUAUUCCAUAUUUGCAAUCGAGGACUUGUCUUAUAAAUAAAUACUAGUAGCUAAAUACUUAAAUGGUUAGUGUGUGUAUUAGGAAGAGAAGAGGUCUCUAAUUAGGCAGGUGCUUUGAAUUUGAUUUAGAGGGUUUUCUAAGGGAAGAAAAUCAUCCCCUUUAUAAUAUUCUGAUUAAUUGAAUCUAAAUUGGUGGUUCCACAAUACAACAAUCACAUGCUAUCAUAGACAUUCUUUUAAUUUUUGUUUUGCUUGUAACUACCAUAUAUGCUACCAAAUUCAAUUUAUUUUAAGAUUUAAGCAUCCCAAACAUGUUACAUAUGAUUCUAUUACCAUAUAAAUCUUCUAAUAUUGAUAUUCAAAAACGAUUACGCACAUAAUUUGUCAAUGAUUACAUUUAUGUAACAUUUUCAGAUAUGUAAACGGGUCAUUGAAUCAUAAUUAAGAUGUCGAGAAAUUUGAUUCGACAAACAAUGGGUAAAAAAAUAUAUUAAUGAAAUGAAGGUAAAAAUAUACUAAUUACAAUUUACAGCUAUAUUAAUUGAUUAAUACAAGGAAAUAGGACCACUAGAAAAUUCGAAAUCAAAUAAGGAAAUGAGGGAGGGCAGGAAUGCAAUCCAACUAAGCAAAUACUGUAACCGUCUGAAUAAUUCUCGCGAUAUUUUCGCCAAGUUCUCGUCCCCCCUUCACUAUAAAUACAUAGCUCGAGUGAAGCUAGGUUUGCCAAUUUGGUUAGCAAAACGCAGCUUAAUCAAAACAACAAAACCCUCUCUCGUCUCUUAUUUUCUCUCUCUAAGACACUCCCUUCACUCUCUCUCUAAGUCUCAACUGAAAAAUGGCAGCAAUUUCUAGAAAGUCGUCAGCAACCGGACCGGUCCUCCGGUCCACCGCCUCACCCUCACUGUCCGGGAGAUUCUACAACUCCCACUCCUCCGCCUCCACCGGCUUCGCCUCCUCCACAUCCAGCUUCUCCUCCCGCACCGCCGGUGGUUUCUUCACACGCGCCGCCUCUCCCCCGCGCGUGAGCCUCGCCAGGCCCUCCCCUUCCGCACAGUCCGUCCGAUUCUCCCUCCUCGACCGCCCUACCUCCCCUAGCCGCUCCAUCUCCGUCUCGCCUCACGGCUCCGGCUGCCACCACCGGAGCGCGAUGAAGAAGCAGAUCAACACCACCAAGCGGACCUGUAUGUGCUCCCCUACUUCUCACCCUGGCUCCUUCCGCUGCAGCCUACACAAGAACACGUCGGCGAGCUCCUCCUCCGCCGUGCCGUACUCGCAGAACCGCCUCAACGCGCGCAGAUCGGCGAUGACGAACUCGCUCGUCAGGAUCGGCGGCGUCGAAGGCGAGAUCAUGAAGCGCGCCUUGGCCGCUCUCAUCCGUCCCUCCUCCCACAGCCAGCGCCGCCGCGCCGACUUCCGCCCCCGGCCCAGCCGGCUCUCAAAGUGCAGCGAGUGAUUCCGAUAGGUAAACAAAAUUUUGAACAAAGUGAAGCGCGCUCGGAUCCUGAUUUCCCGGCGAAUCGAAGCCGCUCGCGGCGGAAUCCGGCGACUGUGAUCUGAUAUGGAACGGUAUGAUUCGGAACGGACUUGGUUUUUGUGUGUCCUCCGGUGACUGCUAUAGAGGACUAGUGUAUGAUGAAGAAAACCUAGGCCCUUUCUGUAUAUAUAGAAUACGAAAAUUAUAUGUAUCUGUAUGGCGCGCCAUUGUUAAUGGCCUCUCCAAUCCAAUCCGGGACUCGAUUAACUUCGAUUUUAGCAACUUAAUUUGAUCCCCGAACUUAAAUUCAGAUCCGAAUCCAUUCGUUUCAAUUGGGGACACUUGUUCAAUCUGGGUUCUCAUUCACCCAAUUCAAUCACAUCGCCGGAAUUUGAGUACCAUUGCUUGUACCUACCGAUCCGUUAAGUUCGUCUCCGAUACCAUAUUCCGGUUUUAUUGAGGUGAAUGGUUAUUUCUUCCUCCUAAUUUAUUCCUUUUCCGUUUGUCUAAUUUCAUUAUUUCUGUCUUGUGCAGGUUCCUGUUCUAAAAUUGAAGCCAAGAACUGCAAAAUUGCCUUGACCUCAAUGGAGUACUGGACUGACUCUAAAUUAACCAAAUUAAAUGGAAUUAAGUACUGGACUGACUCUAAAUUAACCAAAUUAAAUGGAAUUAAAAUUAGAAUAAUUAAGAUUCCGGUCACCGUCAACCUUUUUCUGUUGAUGCCGGGCACCUGAGGCUAAAGCAUUGAUCAUGCCGGGCACCUGUUGAUGCCGAGCACCGGAUCGGAAUUUACCGUCUCCACUGUUGAUCAAACUAUAAUAUCUUCUUCACCAGGACCCCCUCUCCUUAUCACCAGCUCGAUUAUUUUGGAUAUUUUUUUUCAAAAGCAGAUUCGAGCUUUCAAAAUUUUUUUGGGUAUCAAUCUAAAUCUGAAUCCUUCUUAUUCUCUAAUUUGGAACAUUAAUGUGAAAUGAUAAUUUUCAAAAUGGGGAAAUUAUUCCCAGUCGGUAUCAGAGAGUAACAAGUUGCUAAGGAACGGAAUAGUGUCCCUAUCUUGCCAAAGACGAAAAUGAAGGUCGAGGGCCGAGGACCCAUAAGGUUGCAAUGGCAGCCCUUUUUUCAACUGUAUCGCAUUCAUGGGAUGGCAGCAUUAGCCAAGAAACUGACUUUGGCUCUUUGGGGAGGAAGAAGAAGAAGAAGAAGAAGAUAAGGUCGACCAUGAAAGCGAAAGCUACGUAUGGGCCGAGACGUGGAGCUAAUCAACUUGCUGCCUUUUAGGCUUUUGUUUCCCAUUUGUCUCUUCAUCUUACUCACCAUUAUCCGAUUUUGAGUUUUUAUCCUUGUCGAUUUCUCUUUACGUGUCAUGAUGAGUCGACUGAAAUGUUACUUAAAUCAUUAAAACAAUAGUACUCUGAAUUCGUACAUUUCGUUUAUCACGUAUGAGUCAACAUGUUACCUAAACACUAAAAAAAUUACUUUUCGAAUCCGUCGUUUACGUAUUUCUUUGUCACGAAUCAGUCAAAUUCUUACUUAAAGUGUUUCUUUAUCACGAAUUAGUCGGAACAUUAUCUAGAAUGAUAGUACUUUGUAGUAUUUAUCUGUCGACUGAACUAGCAGCCAUUAGUCUACUCAUGUUCACAUUUACAGACAUAAAUGGAGCUCUCGAUUUAGCUUCCGAUGACAUAUGAGACAUAAAUCUAAAGAGUAUUAAUAUGAAGCUAAAGUUGUUGGUGAGCCGUGACUUGGUUGGUUAAAGUUUUUAACUGACACUUUGAGGUCAUAAGUUUAAACCUCAUUAACAUAUGUAAGAUGUGUGAGAUAUUAAUAAAAAUAAAAAUAAAAAAAUGAAACUAAAGUUAAUUUAGGUACCAAUGUGACAGAUGAGCAAUAGUGUUAGAACCGUCAUGAGAUUCACUCCUAAUAUUUUAAGCAUAAACUACAUCUUUGUUUAAGAAGAAAACACUCAAACAGUGACUUAAGUACCCAAUGAGCAGCAUUGUUAUAUAUGGUUAGAUUCUUGGUGUCAGCAGCUAAGAUUGGUAUUUGGUGGGUAGACACAUACUCGACAAUUUCGUGUCAGAUCCUAAUCUAACCCCAACUUUUCUCUAAUCAAAUUAUUGAUUCAGUUGAAAUCGGAGGUCGAUCUACUUAUAUUCUCUGCCUCGUGUUCUGAAAAAUUCCUGCAGUGGAUCAAACACCACUACCAACUCACAUUGUUGGGUUGUAAAUAUUUCAAAUCUGCUCUACCAUGCGGGAAUUGCCUAAUGGUUGCUGAGUCAGAAAUUGGAGGAAAAGAAAGAACCCGAUACUGAAAAGACCUGAAUGGUUUGGAUGGAUGUGGGGAAGCUCAUAUAUGAUCAAGCUUCAUGUGCAUGUAUCCUCACACAAGGGGUGUUAAAUGUUAAUAGAGGAAGGAAAUGGUUAUCUCGUUUGUUGCUUUGUUCAUUUAGUCACUUCAGAUGUAGAAAUGGGAUAAGGUUGAAGACAUGUAGGGUAUGAGGUAUGGGUUUCUAAGAAAAAAGAGAAAAUUGAGAAUAGCAAUUUUGAGAGUUCAGUAAAUCGUAUUCAUCAGUGAAGUUCAAUUAUUUCACAUUACGAUUUUUUAUCGGUGUACAAUUUUGUCUUGUAUUUUUAUCGAACAUACGAUUGAUGAAUUUAAACAAUAUUAUGCUCAAAUUUAAAAUGUGAGUCGAUGAACAGAGAAUCAUAAAUCUGAAUUCGAUAAAUCGAACUUGAAAUUUGAUCAUAGCAAUCACUAGAAGACUUUGACCUCUCAUAUAACGAAUUCUUCCUAUAAACAUAAAGUUAUGUCUUCUAUUUUGAGAUGACCUAUAACUAUAUUAAAGAACACUAAAAUGAAAUUUUGUCCCGUUUAAGAGAAAAUCCAAGCCGACUUGAGGUAUGUCUAAUCCACUAUCUCCUCAUGUGCAUGGAUAUAUACCUAUGAUGAAAUAAUGCAUGUCAAUUAGUGAGAAGCGUUUGGCUCACAUAAAGAACAAUAACAACAACAACCAAACUCCUAAUUAACUAAUUAAGUUCCAAAUCCUAUGAUCACAGCUGUUAUUAAGCAAGCUAGUGGUUCUCUUAACAUAUAAUAUCUUGCUAUCUUAAUCCUCUUGUCUCACAACGUUUAUCUGAAAUGGAUAACUAGAUAAGAUUGAGCAGCCUAAUUCUGUUAUGGCCUAAUUUGCACUCUAAGUAGAUAUUUUCAACGGCCAAAACCUACCAGAUAUUAUGGCCUUCAUUAAUGGUUUUGUUUUCUUCCUUCAGUUUCUUACUGUUCUAAUGAAUUCUACUUCAAAAUUUAGUACGUAUAAUUUGAUUUAGUGAAAUAUUUGUUAGCGGAAGUUCCGUAAAUGGGAGUUAACAACUACAUGAACCAUAUAGAGUUGCUCCCGGACACAACCCGAUCAAUUUCUCUUAGUUGCUAACUUGCUAUAUAUGGCUAGCUUAGAAGGUUCAAUCAUAUUUUCAGCACAACAAUACCUACAUAACUGCUUCAGUAAACUAAUUUCACAGCAAAUAAACUGUUUUUUCAUUAAAGCACAACAAAAUCAAACCAUACCUGGAUCUCCAUCUUAUCAGUCGAUCGGCUGCUGGCUAGCUCUCACCACUGGUAUCACACGUAUCGCAAUAUUCUUAUGGAAAACAUAACGUUUUAUUGUUCACGCACAGUGCUGCCAUGCAUUCUUGUUCCCACAAUAUUUGCAAACUUUAAUCACUUCAUAGUCAACACGACAUUUACAUAAUCCAUAAUAAUAUGUACUAUCAUAAUGGCCAACAUUAUAAUCUGAUUCUAUAGAGCUAUCUGCUGAAUCAUAAUCUUCUUCUUUAGGAUUAUAUUCUUCUGUAUCACUAUCUUCUUCGGCACCGCUACCCUUGUCUUCCUUUUCCUGCAGCACCGAAGCGGAGCCCUCAUUGGAUCCAUCAUUUAUAAUUCAGAACUCCUUGUCCCGCCAUGUACUGUUCCCAGUAGCGUGCUCGUCGAAUUCUUCCUUUCGGUGGUGCUUCGUCUGUUGUUCACCCUCCACGCUCGACCGGACGGUCCAAAGUAGGGUUCUGGUCCUCGUCGUCGGUCAUGGUUUUGCGUCUGAGAGAGAGGGAGUCGAUCAGUUGUGUUUAGGUUAGCUAGCCGUGUGCCUUUUUUUCUUUUUAGAGAUUCAUAACAAACGAAGUUGCUGUAUGGAAAUGGAGUGGCAUAUUAUGGCCCAUUUGGGCUUUGCCCUCGGACUUUGGAUUCCUUUCUUAGUUAGGCGCUGUCAACAUUUGGGCAUAGCUGUAUUUGGGUAUAUGUAUGCAAUUAUUUCAGGAAAAAAGAUCGAUAUAGUUAGAAGUUCGUCACAAUAUGCACACAUAUUGGCACUAUUUGUCUUUGUUAUAUAUAUCUUCUUGUUUUCUUUCCGAUGUGUCUGAACAUUGUUAUCGUUUCUUGGUCAUUCAUACUGCACCAUUGUUUCUCUUGGAUCUAGAAAACGCAUCAUCCCUUUGGAACCUCACUUCAAGAGAGACUGUCAUAAUUUGAUUAGCAGAAGUUGUGACCUAUUCGUUAGAUUUAAACAAAAAAAAAGGAAGUGAACAGGGUCCUCGAACCCGUGGCCUCCUAGUAUAAGGUGGUGACAACUUCCUUACUGGAACUGAAUGAACAUAACUCAAGUGGGAGGUACAAGAUACUAGAGCUCUGGAAUUUAAAAGUAGGAAGGAAAGCAACUCUUGCUGAAGGAGUUGCUUACAUCUUGAAGCUAUGGAAUGCGGUUAAGUAUACAAAGAGGCGAAGAAACUAAGAAGUAAGGCAUGUGGCAUGGGUUUUGAUUUUACUAGGGUAAUAUAUGCAGUAUCAACUUAGAGAGAUUAUCCAUUUCGGAUUCUUUCAAGUUUCUAGUCUAAAUAUAGUGAAGUAUCGGAUGAUGAUGAGAUGUCUUGGAAUGUACAGUAAGCUAUAUAUGUUUCCAUAUAUCAGUUACAUGCAUAAAUCAGUGUUUAAGAAGCUAAUUUCAAUGAAGUGCUGGUUGCGAGAAUGUUUUGGGAUGUGCACUAAGCUAUAUCUUACUUCAGCACAUAUUUGCAUCACAUCAGUUAAAUCCACCAGACAGACCAUUGUUCACCAUUCUGAAAGUAUGUCAUAGCCUUAUAGCUGGUUUUAGGUACUUCAUUGGCUGCACUUGUAAUUUCUGGACUUAAGCUGAGGUAUUGUGGCCAUAUUUCUGGUUUUUCAGGUAUGCCAUAGUCCUAUUGAGGUAGAGCUAUGACUAUACCAGCAAUAGGAUUUGCAUGUGCAGCCAAUGACUUCUAUAUCUUAACAGAGUUGUGAAUAAUGGAUUCAAGGCCAGUAGUGUAAUUACUGGAACACCUGCAGGUAGCAUCAGUCUUGAUGUGCAGGCAAGACCUAUUGCAAGGGAAAGGACAGAGCAACGUGUGGAUAUAUGUCUACCUGGUUAUGUGGGGGGAUGGGGAAGUAGACCCCAGAUGUUGCAUCGAGCAACCAACGACUCAUUACAGCCCAAGUACCUCAAAGGAGUAUACCUAUUCUUCUCUGUCUCUGUCUCUCUCUUUUUUGGUAAAUGAAUGAAUAUAUAGAAGAACCCAGGCUUCCAACAAGCCAAUAAAAUAAAAUAGUUGGCCUUUUACAGUCAAGUCUGCAUACUGGAUAGCUAGAAACAUGGUAAUACCAAAUGCUCUUGCUUCUUCUUCUGCAGGUAAUAAUUUACCUCUUCGGGAAAAGCUGUAGAAUGCUAAAGUCCCUGGCAGGAUUCAAAUUUGUGUGUGGCGAGCCUGCAACAACCUGCUGCCUACUAGAGCUAACUCAGCUAAGCUAGUACUAAAGGAUAUUCUGGUCCAUUACGUGCUUAUUUUGCCCUCAUCCUCAAUAAUCUAUUGAGCAUACAAUGUGUGUACGUGUGUGACUGCUCCAUCAGCAAAACCAUAACAUUGUUCAAUGGGGAAGCCAACGAAUACCUAUUCUCAAUGGGGAAGCGACAAGGGUGGACAAUAACAUUGUUCAUAAAAUGAGGUGAGUUUCGAAAGAGAGACUAGUUUACCGUAGAAGAAGAGCAAACGGGAAAGAAAAAAAAAAAAUUAAAAUAGAUAACAAAAAUAAAAGUAUAGAUACCGACCAAAAAAAUAAAGGAAAGAGUGAUAGAAAUUUUCGACCGUUGAAAAAAUAUGCUGCUGUGCUUCUCAUAUAUUUCCCCGUAAGCCAACAGGGUCCCAAAUGCCGACAUACAUUCAGGGUCGAGUUUUCUGAAAUUGGCUCAUUUUCGCAGAACUGAAUCCCCUGUACACGUCGAUUCAUCUCUCAAGCUCUGGUUUGUUUCUGGUCGUUGCUGUGCUGCCUGUGCAGGCAUCCCACGGUUAAUUUCUAAGAAGAUUAUGAGAAAUGUCGAUCGAGGUGUGAGAGAAGAUUAAACGACCAGAAUUUGUUGCUGAUCCGUUGAGUUUGAUAAUUUAUUCUCUAAUUUGUUAAUGUAUAUCUCUUCUGAUCCACGUACCUAUAUAUCCCAAAUUUCUGUUCAUCUUCUUCGAUGGUCUUCAAAGUCAAAUAACAUUUGAUUACAGAGCCAUUUCAGAUUUUAGAUUAAACUCGUAAUAUGAAAGCACAUACAACUGAUACAAGAAAGAAACCUCCGUGAAGUUAGACUAUAAUCAGCCAAAGUUUCUUUUCGUUUUCCAGAAAGAUUUAGGAGGAGCAAUCCCAGAAGCAAUCACGUAUCAUUCAAAGUAAACCACAAAACUCGUUGGUAGGAAAGGUUGGUUCAAUUCCAUAAUAAA
rnacentral:lncRNA from 1 species